rnacentral:lncRNA from 1 species
UGGGUUUUGAUUUUUACAGCCCUUAUACUUGAAUUAAGGGUUCAGUUCCAAUAUAUCUCUAAUUAAAUGAUUAAGGACAUAAUAUUUGGGGUAUAAGUCGAUAGAUAACCUAUUUUCAACACAAACUGGGUUUUGUCCUUUAAAUUCUUUACUCUGGGUUUUUGACAUUCCUGUUCAAUUGGAAAUUGCCUAGAUGAAUAUUCGCAUUUUCACUAACUUCUUUGACCCUAACGCCUUUAAUUUCUUCAAGAUGGGAUUGCUUGUUGCUGAUUUUGUGAUGAGGAGAUUUGGGGCAUGCAUUAAUUUGAUUGUGCAUGUUAGGUUGUCCAGAGUUUAAUUCGGUAAAAACUGCCUCAGUUUUGGUGUCUUUUUACUUGUCUUGAUAAUCGUUAUUACUCAUUCUUGUCUGUACAAUGCUUUGAUCAUCUGAGGACUAGAUGUAAGUAAUGCCCAUUAAAAUGCUUUUCAUAUUGUUGGGAACAUGCUUUGUGGUUUAUUUAUUUACUUUUAGGAAAACGAAGUGGAUUCAAAUCCUUGAAGGAUAUCCAAGAUUGAGAAGUUAUGAACAACUUCUGUUGUGUGUUGUACAUUUUCUCGUAUCUUUUAGUUUCUGUGCUUUAUGUUGUGUGACUUUUGGGCCAAUGAACAUAAUUGGAUUUGCAAUUGUCUUGCGGUGAAGGGCUCAUUGUUGUCGUCGGUUGUUAUCAGACCCUUCCCCCCCCCCCCCCAAAAAAAAAAAACACACAAAGAAAACUUAUAAACAAGGUAUUUUGUUCCACCCCCAAACUUUGUCCUUUUGUCCCCCCAACAUCCCCCCUCCGCCCACCUCCACCCCCAACCCCAAAAAAAAAUUUUUUUUGAAGGGGGGUUGGGGUGGAGUGAAUAUGCCUUAGGUCUGACUAUUGGCAGCAUUUUCAACACGUGCAAUCAUCUAUUUUGGCAGAUUGAGUGACAUAGCUAAUUUUAUGUUUCUAUAUCUCUGGGUUUUGAACUAUCCACUAAUGAAAGGAUUACACUUAAGUACGUUGUGGUGGCUGGAAUAGUGUCUUGAAUUCCAUUAGGCCAUUAUGGCAUUAAUCUUUCGUUGCACCUGUAAUCCUGCAGUAUGUUAUGAUUGUGUUGAAGGGGUCUGUACCCAUGUCAUUUGGUGGAACUGAGCAGCCAACUGCCUAUGGUGAGUUGGUUUCUAUUGGGGGACUCAACCCUGAUGUGAACAAGAAGCUGAGUGCUGCAAUUUCCAACAUUCUUGAGACAAAGCUUAAUGUGCCAAAGUCGCGUUUCUUCCUGAAAUUCUGUGACACCAAGGUAAGCAAUUUUAGCCUUCAAAAUUGUUAGCAAAAUGGUCAAAUCCCAAGCAUGUAGAUUCUUAUUGCAUUCUUCCUUGUUGUUUAGGCCCAUCAGAGUCAAGAAUAUGCACAGUGUCUGCAUGCUUUACACCAGUACUAGGUCAUGUAAUCAACUUUUGUUACUCUGCACCAUGAAUCAACUUUCUCCUCCAUUUUCUUUUCAAUCUCUGAAAAUGCUGAUUUUCCACCAAAAUGUGGUACAAGUGUCUCUUGGCUACUCUGUUUUGCCACUUUGAUGGUACUGAAGGGCUGCCGCUUUAAUUUUUGCAGAGUUCCAACUUUGGAUGGAAUGGGUCUACCUUCUAGGUUCCGUAUUUGCAAAUGUUGAGCUUGUUGACCACGGGGCUCAGAAUUUGGAAAAUAUGCAUCUUCAAUGUUUGUGUAGUAGUACUUGUAUUAUGUUCCAAGCAGAUUAUGUUGAUGCUCCAGAGCAUCCAUCUUUAGAGAAGUAUGCAAUUUAAUAUACUGGAUAUUUUGAGAUCGGUUUGAACAAUCACUAGAUGCAUCUCAAUGCUGUUCAGAAAUAUGUGGCUCACUUUUAUUUCUUGAGCACAUGGCGCAGGCUGGUGAAUUAAUGCUACAUCAUGCAGAUCUGAAUGGAAUUAGUUGAUAUUUUUUAGGUAGCCUUCCUCUGGGAUGAGUACGUCAGUGCAUACUCAUUCUACAGAGUUGUAGAGUGAGUCAGACCAGCGUAUGGUACUCUGGUAGAAGAACCAUUCAACGGGGGUGCUUUGCUGCACGCGUACGCUAGCCGGUAGGGCUGCAAACGAGCCCAGCCGAGUCGAGCUUUGAGCUAAUCGAGCCGAGCCUCGACUAAAUUUUACCAAGCUCGAGCUCGAGCUCGACGAGCCGGCAAAUUUCGAGCUCGAGCUCGAAAAAAAUAAAAAAUAAUUAUAAAUAAAAUAAUAUUUUUUUCUUAAUAAAUAAUAAAAUAUUAAGGAUAUAUACGUAAUUUUACUAUAAAAAUAAAAAAUAAAAAAAAAUAUAAUAUACGUAAUUUUAUUAUUAAAUAAAAAAAAAAUAUAUAUAUAUAUAUAUACCCAAGGCUCGCGAGCUAACGAGCUUAAUAUUCUGAGCUCGAGCUCGAGCUCGAUUAAUAACGAGCUCAACUCGAGCUUGACUCGAGCCGCUCGAGCUAACGAGCUUAAUAUUCUGAGCUCGAGCUCGAGCUCGAUUAAUAACGAGCUCAACUCGAGCUUGACUCGAGCCGCUCGCGAGCGGCUCGAGUCAAGCUCGAGUUGAGCUCGUUAUUAAUCGAGCUCGAGCUCGAGCUCGAGCGGCUCGAUUCGUUUGCAGCUUCCUAGCCCGCGAGCGGCUCGAGUCAAGCUCGAGUUGAGCUCGUUAUUAAUCGAGCUCGAGCUCGAGCUCGAGCGGCUCGAUUCGUUUGCAGCUUCCUAGCCCUUGCGUGCAGUUUUUCGGGAACGAAUUUUUUAAUCACUUUUUAAUCUCAUAUAUAUAUCAAGGUACUGCAGUAAUUUUACUACAAAAAAUUUAGAAAAAUGAAAUCCAAAUAAGGUCUUAUACUUUUAGUUCCAAAAAAUACUGUGAAUUAUGAAAAUAGAUACUACUAUUUAUGACUUCAUUAUUAGCAGAAUUGCCAGACGAAAAGUUUUCCAGCGAUAUUUAUUAGGGCGAUGUAUAAGUGGGAAAGGAUGCAUAUGUUCACAAAAAUGUAUUAUCGUAAUUGCUUGCAUUAUAAACGUGUAUAGUUUCUAGCAUACCAAACUCCCAUCCAGACGUAUUAUUAAAAAAAAAAAAAAAAAUCCCAUCCAGACGUAUUCCAGAUCCACCGACGAAAUUUCUAUACAACUUCCUUUUCGUGUUUUUUGACGUACGGAUUAAGCAACCAAUUCCGUUUUGUGUUGUGUUUUCGUGGUAGAGUAUUUCUUUGACUACCGGUGCUAAUCAGUACUACUCGGUCCCUUCUCCACGGUGAAAAGUUCAUCCCAUUCCCCCUUUAGUUAGUAGCGCAGGCGGAAGAGCUAAAUUUACUUUUUAAUGUCUGAAGCCUGAAUCGGAUUCCGUAGACUCCCUUUUCUCUAUAUCUCCCUCCCUCUGAAAAAGAAACACACCUUUAAAAUAAUAAUAACAAUAAUAAGAGAAGAAAAGUAGCAGAGGCCUCAGAUCAGAAAUUGGGAAUUGGAAUGGCUUCCUCGUCGCCCGCCAUCCUUCUUCCAAUCACCAACCCUCAGCCCUCCGCCGCCACCACCACCACAACCGACUCCAUUCAGUCGUCCGGACCCCCUCCCGCCUUCCGUGCUUUUAUAAAUCAUAUCAGCGAUACCGUCCGCAACGGCCUCGCCAGCCGCCGCCCCUGGUCUGAGCUCGUUGAUCGCUCCGCUUUCUCCAAGCCUGACUCCAUCUCCGAUGCCACCCAACGCAUCCGCAAGAAUUACGCCUACUUCCGCGUCAAUUACCUCGCCGUCAUCACCGGUGUCGUCGCCGUUUCUCUCCUCACCAACCCCCUCUCUCUCAUCCUCCUCGCUGCCCUUCUUGCCGCCUGGCUUUUCCUCUAUCUCUUCCGCACCGCCUCAGAUCCGCCCCUUACACUCUUCGGCCGUCAAUUUUCCGAUCGCGAAACCCUGGUAGGUCUCAUCGUUUCCACCAUCGUUGUCAUCUUCCUCACCAGCGUUGGAUCUGUUCUCGUGUCGGCCCUCAUGGUCGGCCUUGCCAUUGUCUGUGCGCACGGUGCCUUUAGGGUUCCCGAGGAUUUGUUUCUUGAUGAGCAAGAGUCCCCUGCUAUUGGCUUCCUCUCUUUCUUGACUGGCGCCUCCUCCAAUGCCACCGUUGCAGCCACCGCUCCCGCAGUUGCUGCCAGGGUUUGAGGAUCCAAUAAAACAACCCCUUGUACUUAGCUUCUUGAUUUGUGAUGUUAACAUGCUUUGCUAGUUAGUGAACAAUUGAACAAUAAUGAGAGCGGAAUACCACCCUACUACUCACAAAAUAUACUUUUAGAUCUGAUACAUCAUAAUUUUCUUUUUACCUUUUAGCUGGAAUCUCUGUAAAUUGUGGAGUUUUAUUUUGAAUGCAGCGUAUUCCCUCGUUUGAUUAUUUCCAUGUGUUAUGUAGUUUCUUCUUUAUUAUUGUAGGGCAAGGGUUUCACAUUUUUUGCAUCUAUGGUUCGUUUUGAUCCUAUUGGAUUUAAUUCCGUCCAAGUUUGCGAACUAAAUGAUCCUUUUACGAACAUAUGACAACAAUUUUCAGUUCUGUUUGGUACCUCUUUGGUAUAUAUUUGUUUGAAUUGGAAAGUAUAUCAGCAAUCUGCUGAUUCAUUAUUUUUCUCUUCCUCUCAGGUAUGUACUUGUUCAAUAUGACUGAUUUAAGAAUCAUGUAACUGAUGGGAUCUAAAUACAGCAUUUAAUGGUGCACUGAUUGUGUACUUAGUAGGAAAACAUCAGUUCCUGAGCAGUGGUCCAUGUUAUUUGCAGUAUUUGCUGGAAUCUGCAAGUGUUUUCCAUGAUUGGUGAAUGGCUUGGAGCAUGACCUUUUAUAUGCGUGAAAAGAUUUCGUUUAUCUGCCAAUUAUUUUUUUAAAAUUUAUUUUUUUGAUUACUGUAUAAUUAUAGUUUCUUGUGCUAGCAUAAUUGUUCCUGAACUGAGCGCAGGUGCAGCUUUUCAUUUGUCCGAUCUCUUCUUUUCUUGGCUGUUAUUUGCUGAAAACACGAUUUUGCACAAUCUGGACAGUGUAGCGGAACCUGUAAACAAAAUUUUUUUGAAGUAAUCCUUCCUCAUACAUGGUUCAAUGUCUUGUCUUAAAAUACACUAGUACUGUAUAAUCAUGGCAUUCAAAAUUUAGUCCUUCAUGCUGGCCAGCUUAUAUAUUGUUUUGCAGUUAAGGGCAAUGGCUAUUUAUCUGCUUAUUUUAUCUGUCAUCAAUCUAUUCAUGGGCCAUUGUUUGGACAGUCUUUAGUUAUUUUUGAUUGGUGAAUAUUGGAUACCUACUGUAGCAGUACUGCAAGGUUGGUUAUCCAAGGACAAAGACAGGUGUGUUGCUGUUCUUUCGCUGUCUUGAAAUGAGAAGUGAAUCUUUGUGCAGUGUGGUGAUGUUUUAUUAGAUUGUAAAGGUACACCAAACUGACUGAAUGAUAUUGAGAUUUUCAUUCAUGUUGAGCUGGAGGAAGGUUUGUGCUUCCUAAUCUAGUUCAGAGUAUGGGCAUGUGGUGAAUUGUCUAUGUGGCUUAUUUUAUGGCUAAGUAUAAUUGGUUACAAUUAAUGGUUAGUUUUGAAUCUGGAUGCAUAUUUCAAUAGAUCUCACCGUUAUGGUGACUUUCGAUCUCACAUUUAGUUGGAUUAUACUUUUGGAGUUUGAAACUUUGUUCAAGUUUAUGGAUUUAUCUUUGCUGUACUUAGUGAUUAAACAUAUUGGACGUGUUUGUGAAUUGUGAUGCUUCAUACUUGAUGAGAUUAAUAUAAUUAGAGUGUUGGUAGGCUUUAUGUAUGAACUCUGGUAAGCGACCUAUGGUCUUGAGGCAUGACUGACCCGUGGUGGUGACCGGAGUCCAAACCCAACCAAACUUUGUGAUUACCAGAAAAAAAUAUGAGUUUGACUAGAGAUGCUAGCUAGUUUUCUCCCUUUGCUUGGCUGGAGUACGUUAGCGACUUCAGGUUGUGUAUGCUGUCCAGGCAACGAAACCAGAGAACAGUUGGGAGUACCUCGGUUCUGUUUUUGUCUCAAUAUUGAGAUUGAGUUGAAUGCUCAAAUUCCUUACCUGAGAACUUGUGACUGACUUUAGCAUAAAUAUUAGCAAUUAGUUGUUUUCUCACGUUUUUUGUGCUAGACUAGUGUCAAAAAGUGCUACUGGCAUUAUGCGGGUGUUAGGAAGAGAACUUUACUACUAAUAACUUUAUCCUAGAGGUUUUGCCUAGCGGAAUUCUCAGGUUUAAUUGACGCACAGUUGAGAACAGUGUUUUUAUCCUCGCAGCCGAAAGACUGAGUCGUACUAGCCACUUCCUCAACUCCUCAGGUUACCUUGAUUAGUUACCUUGUAAUGGGUCUAAAACCCUCCUAAAAAAAAAAAAGAAAAAAAAAGACGGAGUCAUACUUACCGGAAAAAGAAAAAAAAAAGGUAAAAAAUGCACAAAGAAGAAGUCAAACAAUGUGUAACGUUCACAUAAGACCCCGACGAAAACAAAGCAUGGAUGGGCCUUGCCCUGGAAGGUCCAACAUGUGAAAGUGGGCGUGGAACCCCUCCCUGCUCAAGUAGUAGUAUUUGGCACCCAUAUGGGGAUAUAGCCGUUGAGUUGUCGGCGUCAGGACACGGGCUGCUUCGCUUCAACCCCAUCAACAUUUAACGCCACUGCUUCUAGUACAGUUAGUUUAACAGAGCAACAUCUCCAUCGCUCAGUAGAGGCUUUCUCUCUCUCUUCCUGUCCAAGGAAAACUAGCCGUUAGGGGACUUAACCAUGAACUUUUGAGUAUCAUUUUCUCUGUGCUGCUGAUAACAACUGACCUUGUCUGCGACCUCGUCCUAGAUUCCCUCCUCCUCUCUUUCCAGUCGCCUGCAUUCUUUUACAUUACAUGCCUGCUUCCUUUCCUCCUCUACCUUUAUUUAUCUCAUCCUUCCCAGUCCUUCAAUAAAAUUUCUGUACUCUGUUUUUCCAGUGAUCCAAAAAAGCAGCAGCCCAGAAAAAGUGGAGAGAUAUAGACAAAACAUAAAAAAGGGCCGAGCGAGCAAAAUCACGGCCAUUUCGUUUCUUCCUUAGCCCUUCACUUACCUCAACCUGCUCCAAAAGUAGUUGAUGGAUACUUGUGUUGUUGGAUGUCCAAAUGAUACGCGCAGUUAUUCAUCUCGGCUUAUACCAAAGUCUGCUUGGUGCAGGGCUGAGGAUGGUAAGAGAGAAAAAUGGAAGAAGCCACCACAUUGGCGCUGGCAUCACACAAGCAUGCUCUUUCCGUUUCUGCUUCUUCUUUUCGCCUUUCCACUUGUUUCAGGCAAGAAAUGGGAUGGGGUUAUUGUGACUCAAGCAGACUAUCAAGCCCUCAGGGCCUUGAAACAUGAAUUCGUGGACUUCAGAGGUGUCUUGAGCAGCUGGAAUGAUAGCGGUCCUGGAGCUUGUUCCGGUGGGUGGGUUGGAAUCAAGUGUGUCAAUGGGCAGGUCAUAGCCAUCCAACUUCCCUACAAGGGAUUGGGAGGCAGAAUCUCUGAAAAGAUUGGCCAGUUGCAAGCCCUUCGCAGGCUCAGCCUCCACGACAAUCUCCUUGUCGGCCCGGUCCCUACUUCCCUUGGCUUCCUUUAUGAUCUCAGAGGCGUUUAUCUCUUCAACAACAGGCUCUCCGGUUCAAUUCCUCCAUCCAUUGGUAACUGCCCUGUCCUUCAGACUCUUGAUCUUAGCAACAAUCAGCUCAUUGGAGCAAUUCCUUAUAACCUUGCAAACUCUACCAGAAUAUAUAGACUCAACUUGAGCUUUAACGCCAUUUCUGGUAGAAUUCCAAUGAGUCUCACUCACUUCCCUUCACUUACUUUUCUCGCUCUCCAGCACAACAACCUCUCCGGUUCCAUACCUGAUACUUGGGGUCUUUCAAUACGCCAAAAUAGCUCUUAUCAACUCCAAUCCUUGACCCUAGAUCAUAAUCUUCUUUUUGGAGACGUACCACCUUCCCUCAGCAAGUUGAGCAUCCUCCAGAAGCUUGAUUUGGGUCAUAAUCAGAUUUUUGGAACAAUUCCCAGCGAAUUAGGUAGUCUUUCAAGGCUUCAGGAGCUGGAUUUAUCCAGCAAUUCUCUUAACGGAAGCUUUCCUGAUAGCUUUUCCAACCUCUCAUCUCUAGUUUCCCUGAAUCUCAAGAACAAUUUCCUGGACAACCAAAUCCCGGCUACCCUGGACAGAUUACAAAAUCUCUCAGUACUGAACCUGAGUCAUAACCAAUUCAAAGGUCCUAUCCCACUCAGUAUUGGAAACAUCACCAGUCUAACUCUGCUUGAUUUGUCCGAGAACAAUUUCACUGGGGAGAUUCCAACAUCCCUUGCCGAUUUACCCAAACUCGCCUCCUUAGAUGUUUCAUACAAUAACCUUUCUGGGAUGGUUCCAUCAACCCUUUCCAAGAAGUUCAAUUCCAGCUCUUUUGUUGGAAAUCUCCAGCUAUGUGGAUACAGUUCCUCAACUAGAUGCUCUUCUCCUCCACCUCAAAAUUUACCGUCCCCAUCACAAGGCACUUCUAAGCAUCACCAUCGCAAACUUAGUACCAAAGACAUAAUCCUUAUUGCAGCUGGAGCCAUGCUGGUAGUUUUACUGCUUCUUUGCUGUGUACUACUAUGCUGCUUGAUCAGGAAAAAGGCAGCUUCCAAAGCAAAGAAUGGCAAAGCAAGUGUUCUGGCUCCAACUGGCAGGGGAACCAAGGCAGUUCCAACAGCAGGAACUGAACUUGAAUCAGGGGGUGAAGCUGGUGGAAAGCUGGUCCAUUUUGAUGGUCCUUUUGUAUUUACAGCCGAUGAUUUGUUAUGUGCAACAGCAGAAAUAAUGGGGAAGAGCACUUAUGGGACAGCUUAUAAGGCAACCUUGGAGGAUAGUAACCAAGUUGCUGUAAAGAGGCUAAGAGAGAAGAUAACAAAAGGGCAGAAAGACUUUGAAAUUGAGGUUGCUGAGCUCGGAAAGAUUCGGCAUCCAAAUAUUUUAGCUCUCAGAGCCUAUUACUUGGUACCUAAAGGAGAGAAGCUUCUUGUCUAUGAUUAUAUGCUUAAUGGAAGUCUGGCAUCUUUUCUCCACGGUAAGCUUUUUUAAGCCACUAUUUUAUCCCUUCAUUUUCAAACUUUGUCUCUGGUUUUGUGAUGUGGGCUUGAUCACUAAUGGAAAAAGAAGCAAUUAUGUCACUGAUUUUGCACCUUAAAUUAGUAACUGCUGCUUAUUCUGAAUUGCAGUGAAUUUGGUGCUUGAAAUAGUUAAGUGAUUAAGCACUUCUAAUCAUAUUCUAUUCAAUUUUUGAACCUUGAAGAGAUUAUAGUCAGGAAAGAGCAGAAAGAAAAUAAUGAUUUUGGUGGUGGUUGGUUCCUACAACUAGAUGGAAUCAAAUGGACACCGACAGCUUUAAACAACAUGGACCCUGCAUUCGGACUCUCCUGCUUAAAAUUUUUGAUUCAAUUUCAGAAGCUAACCUAUCCACAAAACAUCCUCUUCUCGUGUAUUGUUUGCAGCUCGAGGGCCAGAAACCACAAUUGCGUGGCCAACAAGGAUGACCAUAAUCGUUGGCAUUACACGAGGCCUCUGCUUCUUGCACACAAAAGAAAACAUUGUACACGGGAAUUUGACAUCAAGCAACGUGCUGCUCGAUGAACUAAAGAUUCCCAAGAUUGCAGAUGUUGGCCUCUCCAGGCUCAUGACAAGCGCAGGAAACACCAAUGUUAUUGCCACUGCUGGCACACUUGGCUAUCGUGCUCCGGAGCUUUCAAAACUCAAGAAUGCCAACAGUAAGACCGACGUGUACAGCCUUGGCAUGAUCAUGUUGGAGCUCUUAACGGGGAAAUCUCCGAGUGAGGCAACAGAUGGGCUUGACUUGCCUCAGUGGGUGGCAUCAAUUGUGAAAGAGGAGUGGACUAAUGAAGUCUUUGACGUGGAGCUAAUGAGGGAUGCAUCCAACAUCGGGGAUGAGCUGCUCAACACAUUGAAGUUAGCUCUGCACUGCGUUGAUCCUUCACCAGGAGCAAGGCCCGAAUGUGAUCAAAUUCUCCAGAAACUGGAGGAGAUAAAGCCAGACCUAGUUGCCAAUCUCCCCACAAGUUCGGCUGAUGAUGGCACUGAACUUCCAGUGAAAAGUACUGAAUGAGCAAUAAUCAAGAAAAGUAUACAGGUUGGGAUAUAGAGAAUUUCCUCACUUACUCCAUACAGAAAAAUAGAUGACACUAGAGCUCGAGUAAGCAUUUAUUUAUUCAUUUGUUGGCUGAGGUUAGCUGGUUUUUAAUAAGCAAAUGGUGUAUAUACUAUUGUCAUGCCAUGGUUUACUGGCUAUAUUUUCUCUGUCUUCAAGGGUUUGUACCGUGCCCGUAUUCUUUUGAUUCAUUUUCUGUCAAAGGCUAAAGCAAUAAAAAAAUUACAGGGAUAUUGACCGUUGCUUUCACCUGCUUUAACAUUUGACUCGCUGCUGUAGUUUUAUCCCUAAUAUAUGACGUUUUUGUUCCCAACGCAGGAAACAUUUUAUCUUAGGUACUUGUUCUCCCAACAUAAUUCUCAAACACGCGGUAUGCUUGUAUGUACUGCGAUGUCUGAAUCCAACUAGGAGGUAUAAAACGCGCGAUGCGCGUAGGUAACUAAAAACAAUAUGCCCUGCCAAAUAUGAGGAUUAAGGGAGUGAAUGAAUUUCGGUGCAUUCUUCUUUUAUCCAGCAUGUUAUGCAAUUUUUUUUUUGUAUAUCAAUAUGAAAAUGCAUGACAGUUGACAAAGGAAAAAACAGCACGGUUGAUAAUCCAAAGUGUUAUUAACUUGAAGGAAAUGCAAAGACUUUAAAUCUAUUCCAUCGCAUGAAUUUGGCAAUGAUUCUGAUAAUGUAACUGGCUAGUGAACUGGAUAGCGAAAUAAAAAACUAUCAAGCGAGGCAUUCUCUACAUUUUUUACUUUAAUAUUAACCGCUCUUCUUCUCAACCCAUAAAGAGACUCGGCAAAAGAAGCAUCAGUUGUUCUCAAGUUAACACCGCAUUGUCCUCCUUUCCCUAUUAACAGUACCAAAUCUAGUUUGACUACUGAUUCUCUGCUGCUAAUGAAGAUUCAACUAUGUCCAGAAUAACUGAGCAUGAUUGAACAUUUUCUGCAAGAUAACAGGAAUUGUGUAUUAGCCAGGCAAUAAAAAUUUGAUGCGUUGACCUUGCAAAUCCUCCUCCUCUUUGUCACCGAUACAGAGGAAAACUUGGAAAAUUUGCAAAAGGCAAGAGCUUUACAUUCAUGCAUGUCAGUGUUAGAAUACAAACCCCCAAAACACAAAGGGAAGUACAAAAGCUAGGCAUUAAGUGUUAUUCAAUAGAAAUGAUCUCGCUUACAAGAGUCGGUAGACCGAAUUAAAUAGCUAUCAAUUGCAUUGCAAAUUUAAAAAUUUCAGUAACGGUAAAUUUAUUGCCCACAAGUUCCAGUACAAUGAAAUACACCACCAUUUCUGUCAUGAAAUUAUAGAAAGUCUUUUGGAAUCCAACUCCUGAGUCAAGGUGUUUUGAUUGUGGUAGCCCUCCAAGUUCAACUUUUCAAUUGCAUGAAGCGGAAAAUUAUAGUAAUACAUGGGACAGUACUGGAAGAAUAACAAAAUGAGGGGGCAAUCUCUAUUUUCCAAGUAAUCUGGCAAAGGGGCAAUAAAUGUCAGGAAAAAUCUUACAAGCAUUUUAAGAGAGUGACCGUAAAAUCUAAUAAUUAUGAGCAAUAAAAAAUGUACUGUAGUCUUAACAUGACAUCACUAUCGAAAGAACAUCUAAGAAGAAUGAUCAGAGUGCAGCAAAAGAAGGUAAAGGCAUUCAAAAUUCAAAAAGCCAGCAGAAAUGUAUCAUAUGGACUUAUAGAAAACAGAUUGAAGUUUCACCAAGUAGUUGAAAACUACCUUUAUAUCUCCCGAGAGCCUCAAGAGAUUUCGCUUUUAGAAAUAUUGCUUCUAGGAGCAAACAGCAUCUAAUGACAUGGGCAUCAAGGAAUAAUUUUGAGAUUGUUUUCUGGGAUGGUAUCCUUGUCUAGCAAGUGUGAUUUUCAUCUUCGGAGUAACUGCAGCAAUAUCGAUUCCUUCAAAAACAUGUAAAGCAGCUUCUAUCAGACACAUAUUCUAGAAUUCUAAAUGUCAAUCCACCAAGUCUUUGAAGGAUGCUGGGAAGAAAUCUCACUCUAUUGACCUUAUGAUUGUAAACCCAAAAUCAUUUAGAUGAACACCAACAGCAAUCAUUAUGAUAUCUGCCAUUGAAGAAUAAAUCACAAAAGGGACCAUAAGUCUCAACAUCUGGCCUAAAUCCACUUCACAGUACCUCAAACAUAAGUCAGAUAAUCCAAAAAAGAAUAAGAAGAAAGGACAAACCGAGCAUCCAUAUGUUUCAGUUCAUAUAAUCACUAAUCUGUCAAGUAAGUUGAUGGGUGUGCCAUGAGGACUUGUCACAUCUAUCGUCUACACACCAAAAAAAAAAAUUCAGUUUAGCUAAAAGUAGGAUUUCUAGCCAUUUUCUGCAAUCAGACUAUUAAGAUUAAGAUGCAGGCAACUAUUGGUGAAAAAUACACUCUUCUAGUGGCGAAAGACAGUAGGAAGACUACUACAACAUUAUUAGGCAAAGGGAUGCCUAUGCGUAUGUCACCUCUUGAUGAACUUGAGAAUACAAAGAAAGCUGUCUUAAGCAUAUUCAUCAAUCAGUGACUAAUUACAAAUUAACUUCAACAUAUACAUGUGGAAGGUAACACCAGUAUGUGACCUUACACAUUCAAAGAGCAUCUAGAAUAAUUUUAAAUGAAUCACAGAGGAUGAACUAAGAUUGAGAAUAAAAUGUUAAGAGCACCUAUGCAAAAUUAAGUGGUUCAAAUCUACGCUCUUGAUGUUCCACUAAGAUUAUAGCAACCAAAUAAUUAAAGAAAUGAAAGGAUGAGAAUCAAGAUGUAAUUCAAAGAACUGCACCGCGUUGCUUUAUACCUGACAUUACAUAUUCCCCUAUUUGCGGCAAAAAUCACAUUGGUGAUAGAAAACUUUCUAGAGCACAGUUCAAGUAUGAAAAGCAUUCCAUAUCCAACAUAUCAACCUGCAAAUAAGAUGCUUCAAAUAAUUAGAACAUACCAAAAUAACACCCAAGCUCAUUCAUAAUAAUGUGUAUAUAUAGAUGAACCUCAUCAAUAAACAAGACUCCGGGAGCAAGCUCUGCAACACCUUCAUCAAUAUAAUGGUUCAAAACCUGCGAUAGACAUCUUUUGUAAGAUGAAACAACACACAACACAAAAUACCAAAUCCAAGCAUCGGCUUUCUGUGGUGAUAAAAAUUAUCACCUUCCUCCUGAACAUUGAGUUAACAUUUAUUAAUUUCUUUGGUAAUGGUUUUAACAAUAUAAAAAGUCAAAACCAAGUAUUCAAUCUUCUGUACAUCUGUAUUUGCUUUUUCAUUUAUUAAUUUCUUGGCUGUAUGUACUUUUGACAUAUAUAUUCGCCAUCAGGGUCAAUAGAAGUCAGCAACAUUGUUUUGAAACACCACCAAUUUUUCAAAAAAAAAAUCCUCUAAAAAAGCAAAAAAAAUACAACCAGCCAAGAGGGAAGAAACCGCUAAAUCACCAGCUCUUCAAGCCCUAGAAUUUCAAGAUAAACACCAAAGCAAAACAUCACAAAAAAAACAUCUUCCGAUAUAGAGAAACAGGAAGAGAAAAUGACAGAAAAAUCCCCUGAAAAGCAAAAAAAUACAACCAUGAAUGUGGAUAUAAUGUAACUCACCAGAAGAAUCAUGGCGAUUGCUUUGGAUCAAUGGAAAUCUUGGACUCGCCAAUUGAGAGAGAGGAGAAAUAGUUAUAAAAGAAGGAAAGAAAGUUUUGGAGUAGAAGAGGAAAGAGCGGCGGAAAGUUUUGGUCAAUUCCCUCAAACCCUAAUCGAUCUUCAAACAACAAUCAGAAGGACUUAGGAGAGGCACGCAUGGCAGGGAGAGUGGGGAAAAAGGAGGAAGAAAUGAAGAAUGGGGAGAAGAUAGAAAACGGCUGAUGUUUAUAGCUAGUUUGGGAGUUUAGGUUAGAAAAGAAAAGAAAAGAAACCUUAAGUUAUGAAAGAAAAGAAAGGAUGGGAAAAGAAAAGGUGAGAUGUUGAUGUUGUUUGGGAGUUUAGAUAAGAAAUGGAAUGAUUUGGGAUAUAUAUGUCAAUAAAAAUUUGUUCAAUACCCAUUUGAGGAUAAAAUGGACAUUUUAAAAAAUUUUGUUAGGCUUUCUCAACUUUCCUUUGCUUUCCGGCCACAUUUGGGCGGAAAAGUAUAACAACUAUGGCAGCAACAUACCAUCCAUCCAAAUCCUUUGAUUUCCUUUCUUUUCCAUCUCUUAAAAAGUCCCAAAUGGCAGAAAGAAAGUUUUUGUUCUCCUUUCCUUUCUUUUCUUAUCAAAUCCGAUCAUCCAAACUAGCUAUUAGGGUUGAAAGAAAGACAAUGGAAAAAGGAGGAGAGAGAAGAAAUGGUCACGUGAGUACCACGAGGGCCGACGAAACAAAAUGAGAGGCCGACGAAAAAGAGCCUCAGACCAAAACCCCCCACUCGCUCUUAUUCUAUAUAUGUUGAAAAGUUGAAGAUCGUUGAAAACUGUGGAGGUCAAUUGUGUAUUUGUCUGUCUCAGCAACGAGUGCUUGAAUGGGGGCCUCUCCAGGAUUCGAACCUUGGUCCUUUGGGGCAAGGGUCUUGGGGUUGAAGUUCUGAUACCACUAGCUCAAGUUGUACCAGGACUUCAACCCCAAGAUCCUUACCCCAAAGGAUCAGGGUUCGAAUCCUGGGGAGACUCUCUCCAAGCACCCUUACCCUUAUCCCAAAGGAUCAUGGUUCGAAUUCUGGAGAGACCCCCCUUCAAGCACCCAUUGUUGAGGCGGACAAAUACACAAUUGGCCUCCACAAAAACUACCUGCGGAAAGAAAUGAAGGGAAAAUGGCCAUUUCGAUGGGAGUUUUAGCCUCAUCGAUGCGACCAUCUCUAUCGUAAAGAUGCCGAUCUCAAUCGAAAUCCUCUAAUGAAAAAUUGAAAAUUUAUAAUGGCGUGAGUGUCUUGCAGAGUAUGUGCAUCAUAUAAAAUGACCAUUCUGCUCCAUUAUUGCUACUACAGUCGUAUUCAAAUUUGUCCCUUAUAUACCACGCAUACUCAUUAUGCUCUCUAUUUUUUUUUUUGAAAAUAUUAUUUAAAACAUUUCUCACAUCUCACCAAAUAAAUUUAUCGUCCAUCACUUUUAUGUCUCUUAUAAAUUCAAAUUAAUAAAAUUUAGUUCUAACUUAAGUUUUCGAUAAAUUUUUUAACUAAAAUCACCACGUGACUUGCAUGGAGUUAAUAUUUACGUAUGAAAUGUCAGAUCCCACUUUUUUAAUGCCAAAAAAUGAUUAUGAAUUGAAUUAGAUCCCACUUUUUUUAGAAGAAAAAAUAAAUAUAGUUUGGGUCAGUUUUACUUUUUUACGGGGCAAAAAUGAACAUGGAUGUGGUCAUUUCUUUAACUACACACCUUUUUGCCCUAAAAAAAAGACCAUGUGUGAGUUAUGUGAUAGAUUCAAGAUAAAAAGUGAUAAAAAAUCUAGGUUAGGACUAAAUUUUAUAGACUUAAUUUUUUAAGGAAUGUAAAAUUUCUAUUUUAAAAGUGAAUGAUGAAAAAAUUCAUUUGACGAGAAGUGAGAGACGUUUUGAAUGAUUUUUCCUAUUUUCUUAUAGUUCUACUCUUUCUUUUAUUUCAAAAGUUCGAACGACCUCUUACCAAUACAAACUUAACUCGAGUGUCGAAUAAUUUAAUUCAUCUUUUAACUCUAAUUAUGUCUUGAACAAAUGAGAUCACAUCUUGUACAUUUGAGUAAAAACUGGCCCAAACAAAUUUUUUGACAACUGUUUAGACCCUCCUCUGCAUAAACUGAUGUCUAUUCAACAAAAGUUAUUGUUGAAUAGUUUUGAGCAUCAUAUUCAAAUUAAGGUUGUGUUUGAAUUGUAAUUUUUUAUCAAAUUUUUUUUUUUACAUUUUUCGUGAUUUUUAUUUUUAAUUACUUUUUUAAUUGAGAUAUAUCAAAUUAUUAUUAUUAUUAUUAUUAUUAUUAUAUAUAUAUAUAUAUAUUGGUUCAAGGGGAACUCACUCAGGAAAAGGGUAUAACUUGAGAGCACGAAGGAGUGACUUGCAAUCAUCUAGCUAAAGCUAAUGUGCCUGGUUAAUGGUUAUGUAGAAGAAGUGCCUGUGGCUGUCAAAAUCUCAAAUCCGGCCAGCUGUGAGGCGUCCAGGGUUGAAUUAAAAGAGGCCCACCAGUCCAACCCGGCGAGCAAUUUAGGUCCCAUGCCACCGCCUGAUCUACUUCUACGGAGACACAAAAACAGAGAGGAUUGUCUGCGAAAUCUGACUUGAGCAAGAGAGAAUCCUAGUGCUGAAUUAGCAUGGACGACGUUCCUAUUCACAAGAUCCAAAUUUCUGGUCCUGCACUGGCCUCCCUACUCCUCCGUUUCUCCUCUUCCCCCGGUGCUAUUCACGGCCUUCUCUUCGGCCACGUCACUAUCUCCGCUACCUCCUCUCUCUCCGACGAUGCCACCUCCAAUCUAGACCCUUCUUCCGCUGAUGCCGACGCUGGCACCGCCAUUCCGCUUCUUACAGCCACAGUCACCUCCUUCCUCUCCCUCCCUUCGCACCUCCCUCUCCCACUCCAACACCUCCCGAAUCCUAACCCACCUUCCUCCUCCCUCCUCGGCUGGUUCUCCGCCCGCCGCAGAACCCCUCUCCGCCCCUCCCUUAACGAUUCCACCACCACGCACGCUCUUUCCUCCUCUACUUCCCUCUCCUUCACUCCUCCACAAUGCUCCAAUCUUCACACCCUCACCCUUCCCCCUUCUCUGUUCCUCCUCCUAACCUCGCCCUUGCAAGAUCAGCUCGUCCAUACGCACCAGUAUAAAGCUUUCCACUAUCGAAUUUCUACCGAUUCCUUCGAACCCAAAAGCUUAGAUAUUGUCAACAUUGGCCCAUCUUUCCGAUCCCAUUAUGGGUCUUUUAGCACCAACUCUCCGUUUCCCUUGCUACCCUGUGAGUGGAGGUGCUCCAAUGCCAUGGCUGAGGAUGACCAAAGAGAAACUUUAGGGUCUUUGAAGAAGGACCUCAAUGAUCAGAAGGAGUUGGACAUGUGUGCUGAGGGUUUUGAAGUUGGGAGGUUGAAUAGACUAAUGGGUUCUCAGGCUGCAAAUUACACAGCUGAGUUGGAGGAUUUAUACAAUAAAAUGCUUGCCAAGCUGGAUGGACUGUCCAGGCUGGUGGAGAACAGCUCUGCUAAGGUUCUUGAACAGGUGAGUGGGAAGAACACAGGCGAAACAAAGCUCUAGUUUUUAUUAGGAUUUGGUUGAUACUGCAUUUGUCUUUUUCCCUCCUGUCCCGGACGUAGUUGAUUUAUUUAUUCUUGCUUGGUAAUAAAAUCACGUUAUUUGAAUUCAAACAGGAACAAAACAAUAUGAAGUUGAGGCUUAAAGUAGCGGGAUUGGAAUAAUUCUCGAUGCUUGCUGGUUUUUCUUUUUGUCCUGUAUGUAAGGUAUUUAUUUUCAUUUCUUUGUGCGGUUGAUUCAUAUUUCAGUUACCUUGUUUUGGCAAGUUUUUGGGUAAUUCAAGUUGAUAUAUGUUUAGGUCAAUUGACUUUUAAUUGUAGCAUAUGGAGCUGUUGCACAUAUUUUCAUCUUGUAGUUCGGCAGAAAAAUAAAACUGAUGAUAUUUCCAUGUUUUGUUCGUGGUCAAUUAAUAGGAGAGAGAUCCUUAAUUCAUUUUCACUAGUGGUAAUACAUUACGUGUCCUUGUUUAGCGGCAUUAGCUGUCAUAAUGUUGCAUUUUUGGUGAACUCUGUGGGAAAAGGUUUAUCAUGUAUUGCUGGAGGCAGCACCAUGUACUAUUUCUGUAUGGAAUUUUGUCCCUCGGAGGACAAUGGGCAAAUUUUCUGUGAAAGUUUAUCCUUUACAUAGCAAUCUUUAGGUGCUAAGUCAAGUCCGUGCUAGCCACAUUUACCAGUUGUCAUGUCUCAGCAUUUACUGCUUUUGAAUUGGAGCUUGUUUCUAUUCCUUUAGCUUCCUGCAUUUGUCCAACCUUGUGAACCUUUCUGCACCAAUAUUACUUCUUUUAGUUUAAGUUUAACCAUCAGUUGCAUCAGAAGGGUGGCUGGACUCAUCCUGAAAGCAUAAGAGCUUUUAUGUGGCAAUUGUUAUCUUCCUUCUGAUUUGGAAAGCCUUUCUUGAUCCAAUUGUGGUAUACCGCUUGCUUUUGUAAUUCAGUUGAUGACGACAUUCAUGGUUGUACAGGAGAUCAGCAAGAUUUGCAUUCCUAUUAGGAACACAGGCAAACUUUGUUUGUCAAGGACUUAGCUCGCAAGAAAUUGGUAGUACUUGCUUAGAAUGCAGUCCAUGAUGCCAAUGUACUGUUAAUCUCUAAUGUUUUACUUGAGAGUCCUAUGCCCGUGCAUUCACUGUUUAGUGGUCCAUAACUGAUUAAGCUGGCAAUAGCUCACCCAUGACUCACACAUGUUCUGCAAUACUUUUUAAUUUCUGCUUAACUUACUUGAAUGUGUUUUACCUUAAUCUCAUGUUCGACAUGUGUUGACACUGUGAUUAGAGAUGUUUAACCUUUUCCAUAGUUUCUUGAUGAUUUAAUUAUGUGAUGGCAUCUGAUUAAUAUCUUAUGAUUGUUGGGCAAAGCUGUUUGAAUUAUGAAAUGUGGAUGGUCAUUACUCAGAGUUGGGAGGUGCAUAAAUAAACUUAGAAAGACAUUCUAUCUUACCCUUAAUGUCAGAAAUCAGUUCAAAGCCACCAAGAGAAAAGGAUAACUGUCUCUUCUAUUGCUUUCUGAUACUGUAGCUGCAAGAGGUUUCCACUUUAGCUGCCUCUCCUAGCAGAAGCUGUGUCUGAAUUUGUCAUUUUGAUCAUAGUGUUUCUGCUUGCUUGUGCUCUAAUAUUUUCCUAGUAUGUACCUCUUCCAGCCUGUUUUAGUGGAUCCAAGGCAGCAUCACUCUCAAGCCAAAGCGACCAAGUUAGAUUAUGAUCAGAUUGUUCAUUUCUUUGUUUUCCCAUUAAAUUUGGGCAUCAAUAAUGAAUCGCGACUGAGUCAGUUAUACUUGAGUUGUAGUCUAAUUAUUCAAAAUAGAAACAAAAACAGAAAUAAUGAGCCUAAUAUCUUCUUCAAACUGCCAAAUAAAGAUUGCGUAUAAGUAAAUUCAACCUAAUAAAAGCUUCCUCAAAAGAAUGCUUCCUUCCAUCUCUGAUUUCACAACAAUAAGAAAGAGAAGCUUGCUUUGCAAUCACCAUAUUUGCAGAAAAUUCUAGCUUUUAAUGAAUCUUUAGCGGAAAAUUCACCUGUGCAUCCUGGCUUAUUGUCCCAUUAUUCUUGGCGUCACCCAAUUGUUUUUUGUCUGAUGGUAUAACAUGGGAGACAGGGAUGGCCUGUGUGGAUUGCAAUGUCGUCCAUGGUGUGAUCCCCAAAAGGUGGGGUAGUAAAUCGUCCAUUGAGUUUUGGACCCUGGAAGUGUGUUUUGAGUUGGGCAAUGAGGACUUAAGAUUUGUGAUUGGGAGUUUGGAAAAUGUGGGGGCAAGCAAAAAUAACGUGAUGCUUUAUGCAUCAUCUAGGGUCGAGUUUCUAGAAACUGAAUCAGUGAUACGAGUUAUUUUUUCAGAAAUUUUAACUAAAAUUGACCUAUGAAGUGUAAGAUAGAUAAAUGUCAAGCAAAGUUACCCAAUCUUUAUGUGGUUGGAAUGGUUUUUCUUAGUCAAUGGGGAAAAUAUAUCGUUUUACUGAUUAUGUUGCCAAAAGGACUCAAGAACAAGGAGGAGGAGGUGCUUCUCUUCGUUUUGUUGAAUAAUGUUACUAUAUCCAAGUCUGACUGGCUUGGUGAACCAUAGGUUACUGCUUGAGUAUUACUUCUUCUGCCCGCAUCACAAGUUACUAAGUGUCCUAUGUAGCUUCUUGCAUGAAAUUGUUGUUGAUCCCAUGAUUUUUUGUCCGCAUAUUGCUACUAUAUGAGCUUAUGCAGUUAUUCUUUUCUGGUCAUUUGAAUCUUUUAACCGUACAAGGUGGAGGAUAAUAAACUAUGAAUUUCCACUUGAAGGUGAGAAUAGCAUAACUAGUGUUGGUUUUGCCUGUUGGUAAGUUGGAAUAUCUGAUUUUCUGCACGGAAAGUAUAUAAACAAGCAAUUUGGACUGCAACUCAAGGAAGGAGUGGAAAGAAUUUUUCCUUUAAUACACAUACUUCUAUCACUUAUUUCAACUAAGAAAAGUAAACAAGCAACAUGAAGUUUAGGGUCUUGCUUGAGAAUACUGUCCAUCAUUUCUUUCUGAAUUUUGAUUUUGCUUUGUUGUUGUAGAUUCUUCAAUAUUGAAGGUGCAUAACGGAGAUCCUGCAGCUUAACGUGUAAAAUUGAAUAAUUCUGAAGCCUUCUGUGGUUGUGGUUGUGGUUGUUGCCUGUGCUUGGCAUCUUUUCACAGGCUUAGGUAAAGGCAAUCUCUUUCCUUCACCCAAUUGUGAAUUGCAUCUAUGUACCAUUUCUAUCUAGUGGCCUUCCCUCUUUCUGUUGAUACCCACCAGCCAGUAAAUGUAAUUCCUUAGAUUGGAAACUUGCUUUUGGCUGGAAUGAAGCAAGCCUAAUUUUUUGCAAGCUUUUGCUUAGUCUUCUCUCUUUAUGUCACUUUAGUACCUCUGCUCUAUAGUUUUGGAGGCUUAACUGCAUAAUGGAACUUUGUCUAAAGCUUCGGAUCAAACCUGUUACAAAACAGAAGUUGUGCCUCGUGUGCAGUGUACUUCUUUCUGGUACAUUGUUUGAAUGUUUCAGCUACCUUUUUAAGUUUUAUCAUUGGGGAUGGAAGCAUAUUCCAGAUGGGCACUGGCAAUUUUGGCAGGCAAACGUUUCACUGUGUUCCAGUGCAAUGCCAUGCAUGUGGGGGCUCUUCAUGAGAAUCAGUUGUAGCAGUUUUGGCUGCUGUGCGGCUACGGGGCGUCCGCAGUCCUGUGAAUUGUGGCCAAUAAAAGGGGAGGCUUUUCCAUCUAGCACACGGAUAGGCUGAAAAUUCCUUGUUUGUCACUCCUCCUGUACUAUGGGGAAAUCAAUGACCAUUUAUUAGUUCGCGCAAGAAAAAGGAAACAAAGCCUUGUUGGAAAAUGACCAACUAGGACUUUAUAUUUGUGUCCUUGAGCAGGACCGCCUUUGUACCAGCCCUUUGAUGUCGACUUCGGGGGAUAAUUUCACUUUUUAAGUUAUACUAAAAAAAGAAGAAAAAAAAAAAGAAGGAAAGGGUAUGAUCCAUUUGCACGGCUAAGUCUUCCAAAACGAAAGGAUGAAUUAGGGUUCAAUUGAGCUUUCAAACUCGGUUUUUUAGUAAAUUUAUAAUUUUAUAAUAAAUAAUUAAAAAUUAUAUUAUAAAUACGCCAUUCGACAAGGCUUGACAUACGUUAGAGUUUUAAAUUUUUUUUUUUUUCACUCUAUCUUGACUUGAUCAUCUCAUCAGUUACUUUGAAUUGAAUUUUAUGCUUGAUCAAAUUACUCCCAAGCCCGAAUCGAGUAGCUUAGAUUAAUUUACACCCCUAGGAUGCAACCCGUUAGAUUAAUUUACGUCCUUCGUUCUUACGAUCUUACGAAAGCGCAGAGGCCGCUCAAGUCGACCGACUUUUGUCGAUUUCUCCUCCACCGAAUUGGGCUUACUGCCUCUGGCUGCCCCGUGUCCGUAAUCAUCAAGCCCACCUGUCUCUAGUUCUUGUCGUCUUAUUUCUUGGAAUUUUUCGGAUUAGUUUCAACGUGCAGCUGAUAUAGAAAAUAUCCACUUUCCUAUUUUGGAAGCCCAACCAUGACAACUUGGGCUUGCCUUGCUUGACCACCAACGGGAAAGGAAAAAUAGCUUGUUUGCUGAAUGAUGCGACCUCCUCAUGUUGCAGCCCAUUCAACAAAUCCGACCUGUUUGUAUUGAGGGUUUAUAAGAAGAGGAAAAAUGAAAAUGAAUUGCGUAUACUGUGUGUGUGUGUGUUUUUUUUGGGGGCGGGGUUACUCAGGAUGACUCAAUUGCGUCCGAUGUCUAAAUUCAAAAGCAAAAAAGCACUUGCCAUGUUGCUUCCUUUGUUCAUUUUUAACUAUACAAAACUUAAAAGUCAGAUUUUGCAAAGCAAUUGGAAAUAGAAAAUUAAUCAAAGCUAAAAUUGAGUAUUCAAAAUCAUUUAAGAAAAAAAAAAUACUAAAAGAAUAAAUUAAAAGGGAGCAAAACCAUUUUUUGCUUUACCUCUUGCAUCAUUUACAUCUCCAACCAUAGCGGGGAGUGAAACCUUAGUAACUAAGUACUGGAAUUUUAUUUAAUAGAUGGAGUUUACUUUACCGUCUAUUAACUUCAUCAGCAAGUAAACGAUAAAAGAAUGCAAAAAAAAAAAAAAAAAAUGUUUUUGGCAAGAAAGAAUAAUAAUUGCGACAAAAGCACGAGUAUAUUCUUGAGGACCAAGAAAGAGCAGCAAGUAUUCAGGAAGGAACUGAAGUUGAUAUACCACUACAAAUUGGUUUGGAAGUUUGAAAGGAAAUAAUUUUUUUUAAAGAAAAAAGGGUGCGUAAUGGGCAAGAAAAGGAGAGACAGGCCCGCGUAGGCUGCUGUGCUGUUAAUAAGGUUCGUCUACGGCCUUCACCCAUGCAUCCUCCAUGCCCCAAUAACAGCUUAAUAAAUAAAACAAGCAGAAGGAAAAAAAAAAAAAAAAAAAAGGGGGGGGGGGAAAUGAGAAAUUUCCGAAAAUAAGAAUAGUUACUUAGUUCCCAAGAGAGAGCAAUCAGCAGUAAUUGCUGAAGAGAGAGCAAUCAGCGGUACUGUUGGAUUGCCAAAAAACAGCACCACCAGCGUCUGCAAUGCAUAGCAGCAUAGAUGAAUAAAAGGACACCUUCUUUCCUUUCUUUUCUUGAGGAGACUGAAAAAGGAAAACGAGAGUCGAGUCUAGAAUCCUAAAGCGAAAUAUAUACAUAUAUAUAACGUAUACACACCGAUAAAGAUUGAGGAAAGAGGUAUACAAGGCCCCGACCAACUCACCAAGAACAGGAAGAAGAAUCAAGCAACACUUUUCUUUGUUUUCUCAAAGGCGCAUGUCUUCUGAUAUUCACAUCACUGCAAAUACCGACGGCUAAGUCAAAUUUUCUUUAGCCUCUUCACCAAAUCCAAUCUUCUUUGAAUGGUAAUCUUUUAUAUAUAAUCCCACAUGAGUUUUCUUGUCCUUUGCGCAUUCCAGUUCUAAUCCCCUCUGUUUCGUCGGUCUUGGCUAGUAAUCGUUUUUCUGGACUAUUAACUACUGUUAAGUAUGCGUUCUUGAAUUUUAAUGGAGUGUUAUUAUUACAACACAUGAAACGAUUAGGGUUUGAAACAAGAACUACUAACUUGCUAUACCUGGUGCGUGCGUGGUUUAAUAUGGUUUAUUUAAUGUUAGAGCCCUCAACGACUGAGGCCCUUCAGAUGGAUGAUAAAACUUGUAAUUAAUAAUUCAGUGUUCAGUGCUGUUACUAAAGAUUUGAUUUUUUUUUUUUCGUGUUUCUGCAGUUGAUCAAUUUGGCCUACUGAAAUAUACACUACUACAGAAGAUUUGGUGAAGCGAAAGACGUGGUGGCGGGUGGGCCUUUAUUUUGUGUGUGUGUGAGUGCGUUUUUUUGUGCUUGACCUGGUAAAAGUUUGUAAAUGGCGUGUGGCGGGAACAGAAAUAACAAUAAUUCACGGAGGAGGAGGAGUAGUGUGGAAAGUGAAUCCGUAGACGACAUAUUGUUGAAGUGGAAGAAUUUGAACAGACAAAUACUGGAAACUGUGGGUGUGGUGGGUGAUGAUGAAGUGGGCGGGGAUGAAUUAUUCAGGAGAAAGAAGAAGAGAAAAGUUCUACCCAGGGGUUCCAGAAAGGGAUGUAUGCGAGGCAAAGGUGGACCCGAGAACUCCCGGUGUAAUUUCAGGGGUGUUAGACAGCGGACUUGGGGAAAAUGGGUUGCUGAAAUCCGAGAGCCGGUUUCUUUUUCCAAGACCCAAGUCCUGAGUAAGCGCGGCCGCCUGUGGCUGGGUACUUUUCCCACAGCUGUUGAAGCUGCUCUUAAAUAUGACGAGGCUGCCAGGGCUAUGUAUGGCCCUGAUGCUAUUCUCAACUUCCCGGAGAAUUGUGCACCCCCAACCCCACCCCCCUCCUCACUUCAUCAUCACUCGUCUACAAUUAGCGACAACAAUGAUUCGUCCACUCCCGACUCCGCAGCAUCAUCGACGUCGGUUGACCCGGUAUUAGUACCACCGGAUGGUAGUUGUAUCGCUAAGGGUGUUUUAGAGAUUGAAAUUGACAACCAUGCAGAUAAGUCGAAUGGAUAUCUUGUACGUACCAGGACAGUGGAAUCCCCUGCUGAAACAUCGGGUUUAAGCGGUGUUACCAUGGUGCAAGAGUCGAAAAUUGAGUCAGACGCAACGCAUUAUGCUCCAACACCGUCGCCAACGAAGCUACGUUGUUGCAAAAUGGAUGGCGGCGAACCGUCAUACUCUCGUAUUAAAGUUGAGCAGCCACCAGAGAACCAAGUCCACAGCCAAGUAGUCUCCCAGAUCAAUGAAGAUUCAGUAAUUAGACACGCUGCAGAGGCAGAAACGAGAUUUCCUAUCGACGAUCCUGUUGGUGCGGCGGACCUGGACGAAUUAGUAUUAUUGGACGAGCAGCAGAAACUUGGUAAUCCAGGGAUGCCUGAUGAUAAUGGUUUCUGGCGCAAUAUUCUGCAUGGGCAAUCCCUGGAUAUCGAUAGUUCUGAGUGUAUUAGCAGCUUAGACGACGACAUGCGGUUGGCCACUGGGGAUUGGGCGGCGAAUCUUGAUGAUAAUCUUCCCGUUGGAUGCGCGGCCUCCGGUGCCAUCUCUCUGCAGGAGGACAGCACUUGGCUUGAGAAUAUUAACAAAAUGUUAAUGGAGGACACGGACUCUUUAAAUUUCCUCGACUUACUGGAUCCGAAGCCUCAAGGAGGAUAUCGUGAUGAAACAUUUCGGGCGAGGGGGCCGGGCUGUCAAGAACCUGGCACUGGGCGAUUCGAGCUGCAGAACAUACAACCACCGGCAACAAUAGUUGAUGAUUUUCCCGGUUCUUCAGGAGCAGUCAACGCUUCUGAUACUGGAUUGAGGAAUGAGGUAGACGGCGAUCUUGGUCAAUACGGAUCUUCUGAUGAGGGCCAAGGGCAAUAUUGGCUACAACACCAAGAUGCGAAGCUCAACGUGGAAAACUUACAGGCUAUAAUUUUGGACGACAAUUUGAAUGUUGACGUUUCGGACCUUUAUUGAUUAGUCUUUCCUUGGAAGCGGGAAGGGAUAAAUUGUUUGUGACAUAGAAAACUUUGCUGCGACGUUCGGAUACCAUGAGACCUGAAAAGUGCAUCUCAGAAGAAGAUUUUGUACAAGUAAUCGCUAUUCAGUGGACGAUGACGAUGAUGGAAAGACGCAGUAGUAUUAGUUGAUUCACAUUUUGGCCCCGAAGCUUGCAAAGUUUAACCUAGAAGUAGAAAUUGAGAUUGAAAUUCUUUGAUGUUCAUCAGGUAGUUUUUAGUGGAUGGUAUAGUGUAAAUUCAUCCAGGACAAGCAAGUCUCUGGAAUACAUACACAUCAAGCUUUUGGGUUAUCUGUGUUGAUCUGCUUCCAGCUUAGAAAAAAGACUCUGAAAUAUGAACAGAAACUUGUGUGGCGUUGCAGUUGUUCAGUUUCUUUGUUCUUUUCUUCUUUUUCUCCCUGGUGUUGUGAGCUCUAGUAUUGUGGCCCGUAAAAUUCUCAAAUUAACGGAGUCAAAUUUCAUUGUUUUCGUCUCUGCGGAAAGCAGAAUAUAACAGAUAGGUUGGCAAAGCUUGGAGCACCCCAGAUUGUGCAAUUUAGAGCCAAAAUUAAGAUUAUGGUUAUCAGCUUGGUUUUCCUGCUAUUACAAAAAUGUCAUUCAUAUAGGCGGAAGUCAGCAAAAGAAAGAAUUUACACUGUACAUUGCGCUUUAACAAUAACCAAUGCUCUUGAAGGUAACUCUACCAUCUGCAUACAUAUCGUUGGAGAAGUUAUCAGGAUCUACAAAUACCAAACGAAAAUGAUCAUGUACAAAUAAGUCUCUUACUAUGUUUAACACCUAAUUUAAAUACUACAUAACCCUAAAUCUUUACACCAUGACAACUUACUGUAAGCUAUCAAACUUUACAGGGUUUUUUUUUUUUUUUUUUUUGGGGGGGACAAACAUUGCAGGGUUAAUUUUGAAAGAGACGAAAAAAAAAGGUCAGAAUAAAGAGCAGACCUUUGCUGUAUUACAGAAUUCCUCUUCGUUCAAUUAGGACAAUGUCCUCGAUCUUGCUGUUGCAAUGUGGAGAAGUUACCUAUUCCGUAGCCCUUGAGAUGAAUAGUAGUGAAGCUUGAAGCAGGUCAGCUUCCAGGGUGUCAAUAGUUCAUGAAUCAAUGGCUGCAGGCUGAUCAUUUUACCUCCACCAGGCUGAUCAUUAACCAGUACACGCAAACACGGCAGGAGUCAUGUUGAUAGUUGGUUCAGGCACUUUCUCGCUCCACACCAGACCAUAGAAAUUUCCAUGGUCCGCCUCUAGCACCCAACCUGAGAUUCAAAGUAUAUAUGACACAAGGGCAAUACACUAGCAAACGGCAAGUAAUACCUUGGACACAUGAUAAUGCAUGCUAAUGCAUCUUUAAUUAAAUUAAUGAGAGAGAGAGACUGAGACCUCAAGAUUCCAGCAGCAACUCUCAAAGUCAUAAAGGAAAAUAGCCCUGCCCAGACUCCAGCAAGGCCCCAAAAAUAAGUGGCCACCAGCAAGAUCACCGCUGAUAUUACUCCAAUAACUAUCUACCCAUCACAAGUAAACUGUGAACAUAAAUAAUCAAAAAAGAUGUUGAAUGAUAAAGCAUCAAAAUGGCAGGACAGAGUGGUACCAUAGAGUAUGCAGCGUAUCCAAAAUCUGAAACCCCAUAGUAAAGCCCAUCAAGAACAAAAGCUAGAGCAUUCAUAGGCUGGGAUCCAGCAACAAACUACAGAGAAAGAUUCAAUACCACAAAGAAAACUGCUCAGUUUGUCAAGUAAUUAGAAUAUGAGUAGAAACAAAACCGGAAGCGCUGAGUUCGCGUGUCCUUCUAAUCCACAUUAUUAGAGGAUAUAAAGCAAUAUAUCCAUAUUAGGAGCAAAUUUGUACUAAACAAUAGAAUCUUUAAAUGCUAAACUUUCUGCUCUUGAAUCUGAGGAAAAAUUUGCUUAUGGUAUUCUGACAGAAUGUUAACUUUAGUCCACAUUGCUCAACAAUAGUACUUUCUUCACUGUAAAUUUCAGUUCCAUCAGUCCAAGCCCAUGCAACAAAGAAGCGCUCAACACACAAAAAUUUUAUAACAAGAAAUUCUUACCAAGGUACCAGAUCUCGCAAUUUUCAGAACCUCUGAAUCCACAGUGAAUAAGCUGGAGAGUGCUCCAAAACCAAGAAACAAGAAUACAGCUAAUGCUACUCCAGUUAUUAAACCAAUCUGAUCAUUAUUAAUACAAUAACAAGUACAUCUAGAAGUUAGUUCGUCUUCUGUAUGGAAGUCAAUGUGAUGCCAAAAUUUUGAUAAGAUAGGGCCACCACAACCAGAAAUUCAACAAACCUGCAAAACUUUGUAAACAACUUCCCGUGCUUCACCAUAACUGCCUUGGGAAUAACCACUGGCAAGGAGAGCCUGCAAGAAUAAAAGGAGUUAAAUUUGAUGGCAAUGCAGAGAGAGAAUUACUCAAUUCUAUACAAAAUUUUCUUAGACAAUCAAAUAAGACAAGUAGCAGAAGAAACAGGAAAAGACAUUGAAGGUAUUGAGGCUCCUUUUGUCCUCCUGCAAGCACUCCUUCUUCCAGGCACUUAAGAGUUGACCAAACCAUAUAACUACCCAAAUGCUGAAUUGCAACACAUUUCAAGGGUCCAGCCAAAUAUAUUCCAGAGAUCUCUGUAACCAGGAACUAACCAACAAUCUAACUUUAGCGAAUCAAAGAUUAUGAAAAUAGACCUUCCAAAUAUCUUGAAGUCUGAAAUUCAAGCACCAGAGAGAUAAUCACUCAGCUUAUUCAGUAAACUUCUGAACUACAAAUGAUAACAAUGGUUGUAACGAUAAAAUUUUGAGCCUCAAUCAGCCUAAUCUGUACCCACAAAGCACCAGUAGUGUAUACAAACUGUGUCAUGGUACAAGCCACAAAUGGAAUUGAUUUGUGUCUUAUGAGUAAACGAAAAACCAAACCUGGCAACACACCAGACAGCUCUGUCAAUAUUGUUGCAUUAUUACCUGCCCUGCAAGUGCUAAAGCAUCAGUAAGCAAAGAUACAGCCAACCAAACUUGAAAACAGAUUUGAUGCCCGGCCAUAGAAAUGGCCCCCUCUCUUGCUGCCAUAGAUGUAGCUAGAGUUGUAAUCAUGAGCACUGCUAAGGACCUUCCAAUUAAAAGACCCCCUGCAAAAUGAAAAUCCAACAGUUAUUGAUACAAAGAGUGAUUUUAGAGUUCCAGGAGGUGCAGCACCUUAUAGAAUAUGGCCACGGAAAAAAUAUAGGUCAAAGGUUCAAAAUCAAAGUUGAACACAUCUAAAAGAUCAUGCUAUUUGAAUGAGUCUACUGCAUGCGACCAUGUAUUCUAGACUCUUUGGCAAACAGUCACCUAAUGAAACGGAUGUUAAAAAAUAGUACAUUCAAAUUUCAAACUCCAACAACAUAACAGCAGCUAUAAUAAUAAAACCAGUCAAAAUAUUGAUGUUUCAACCAUCCAAGGUUAUGCAAAUUACAUCAAAUUCAUGCUGUCAUUUGUUUGAAGUUUCAUAUUUGUUUUGUCUUAGAGAUUAAGGAGUCUCAAGUAUGCUGAAGUGCCCCAAAAUUGCAUCAGAGACAAAAGAGUUGGAGUCUCAAACAUGCACAGUCUUGAAAUAUACAGCAAUUAUAUCUUUGGCACUGCAAUCUGCACAAAAAAAUUCAUUAAACUUACACAUUGGAGAAUGAUAUGAGAAAACAGCAAUUAUGAUUCUUAAACUUGACCAUGGAUGAUGACAUUGACUUAAGAAAUCACCAUGCUCCAAACUUACAGUCAGAACCAUUGCAAGAAUGAAACCAAGUAACCAUAUAUAAAGUUGUCAGCCAAGUACAUGUAUACGGGUUAAUUAUGUUCCUGGUCCUCAAGUGAUAAUCUUACUCACAGUUCUUCUGACAUUUACUAAAGCACUGUCAGGAGUUGUGACGACCUUUUUUCUAGAUACUAAUAUUCAACAUGUGACAACGUAGAUGAAAAGACAGUAAGUCAUUCAUGAAACGUUUUAGCUAUUUAAGAUAUCAAAAUAUACCAGAUUUUAGAUAUCGAGCAACCCUUCCUGCAUCAACAUUCGGUGUCAUAAGUUGGACUUUGUCGUUUAACUUUGAUAGCAAGAUGAAAGCAGUCAAGUACCUGGUGCAGAAAAUUUAUGGAAAUCAAUUAGGUAUAGGUCCCAUACGAGAGCAUAAACUUGUCAUUUAGUCCUAUUAUAUAACUUUAAGGAUCAUAAUGUCUUAUCAAACUUCUGUAGAACCAAUAAGUCCAACUUCUCAUAUAUUAUUCUAGGAAUUCCCAAGACUUUUCCAAUAUAACUUCCUUUUUUUUUGAGCCUUCUAUUUUUUCAAAGAGUUUGAUUUUUAGAUUAAAAUAUGUUUCAAGAAUGAGGAACAGAAAUAAUUUCCACAAUCAUUUGUUUAUAUCCAAAACUUUGUCACACUUUAUACAACACACAUAAUCAAGAAAUUUUGCCGAUAUAUGAUCAAUAACUAAUCUCUCAGGGAAAAAAAGAGUGUAGAGAAUUACCAGCAACUCAUAAUUUUAAGUUUUGGUGUUAAUCCAUUUUAAAAUAAACAUCAAAAUGAUAAAUAUGAAUAACCAUUGGACUUGAAAGGGUAGAAGAUCAAAAUAAUAACUGAAGAUCAAAGGACUUGCUUGAAUUAGGAAUCAUUGGUAAUGGAGUAGUUGAUCAAUUUUCAUGGUCCUUGACUCUUUGCAAAUCUGAGUUCAUGGUAUUUUUCCCUAAGAUGACGAGAAUUAUUUAUAAUAAGUUGAGCAACUACUGCAAUAGGUUUACCACAUCAUUGACGUACUCAGAUAUCACUGUAGCAAUUGCAGCACCUGCUACGCCAAUACCAAAGCAAAAUAUCAAAAUUGCAUCUAGUAUUGCAUUUAAUACAUUACCAGCUCCUGAGAAUGAAAAGCAGAAUGACAUCAGAUAAACAGUUAUUAAGAAGAAAAAGGAUGUUAAAAGGUAGAGUGCUAGGAGGUAUGUUUUAGGUUAAACAUGCAAAGUAACAGAGCAGACACAGAUUUGGCUGUGCACAAAUAUCAAACAGAUUUGGCAUGAGACAAAUUCAAUUUUGCAAUACUUGCCAACAGCAUAUAACGGAGUUUUUGUAUCCUUAAAUCCACGGAAAGUUCCUUGAGCAGCAAGUGCUAUAACAAGUGGUGGAGCACCAAAUGCCCUCAGUGUUAGAAAUUGCUCUGCUGGUAUGCGCAUGGAGGACUCCUAUGAAACACCAAGGACAGUGAACAACAAUAGACAAAAUCUUUAACAAUCAUAAGAUGGAAGUUCAUGUGUUCUGACAACAAAUUCAUGUAAGAACAUCAGACUCAUGGAAAAGCAAUAAACUUGAUUCGCAUUGCUGUUCUCUUUGAACCUAUAGUAAACGAUAUCGCUGGUAUCUAGUAGAUGUAAAUUUAUCACGUAAUUUAUCAUUUUCCUUUUCCUUAUGUACAGAGAUUUUAGUUUUUGGUACAAAAGAAUUCAGAAAGACUAUGUAGCAGAGUCAAUAACAUACUCAACUUGUCUGAGCUAGUAUUAGGCUAUUAUCUUAGCUGCUUCUCUCUCUCUCUCUCUCUCUCUCUCUCUCUCUCUCUCUCUCUCUCUGUGAGAUGUCUGUAUGCAUUUAAGAGCUAUAAAACUUUUAAUAUCUAAGUUCAUUUCUCCAUCCAGCACAUGCUGCAACAAACAGUCACGUGGAUGCCUAAUAAAGAAAAUAAGAAAAAAGCAUAUCAUAUAUUUUCUAAAAUUUAGGCACAAGGAUGGAGAGAUAAGUGAGACCAAUAAGAACAAAAUACUCAAUUAGCAAACAAGACAUACAGCAGGUAUACCCAUCGUGUUCAUUAAGAAACCGGACCCAACAGAGAGUGCAACAGUUUCUGCGAUCCCAAGUCCGGUUGCAAGAGCUAAUGAAGUUGAUACUGAAGGAAGGAGAAUCUUGCCUUUGUGAUCAGGCGGGCCAUCUAGUUCACAGAGCCCAAAAGUGAGCCUCGUUAUUAUGAAGAGGCAAAAUUUAUAGCAAAUCGAAGAAGGUCAACAAAUUGAAUAAAGGCAUAGCAUCUCCUAUAGAGAAAAGUACCGCAGACAGGUGGACCAGACUCAUUAGAACCAUUGGUAAUGGCCGCUUGCUCUUCGGCAACAAAAGAUGUUGUGAGGUUGAGCAGUGGAACAUUGAACAACUUUGAGACUAAGUUGAAAACUGAAACUGAAACCCCUACUGCUGCCAAUUCAACCGAUCCUACACGAUGCACCAUAGUUAAGAACCAAGGAAGAUACAAACUUUAAUAUGUGGAUAUUUGUAAACGAAAUGAUUGGACAAAGAUUGCUCAGUAAUAACACUGGCAGUAAUUUCUUUACCACCUCUUGCUUCACAUUUCAGUCAAAAAAAAAAAGAGCCAAGAUCAAGUUUUUGCAAGUCAUCAUUUGUGAAACUCGCACCCUAAUAAAAGGUUAAUACGUAUAUGUGCAAUUUAUCAGCAUCAAAAACGCACAUGGUGGGCUUUCAUAUGAUGGAUGAAGCUCUAGAAGAAAAGUCGCGUAAUAAGAUACUAAGGUAAUUACCCAAAUGGCCAACAAAUGCAGUAUCUACUAAUGAAGUAAUUGGGUCUGCCAGAAGAGCCAGCGCAGCAGGCAGUGCAAUUGACAGAAUCUCCAAUGCCAGCACAUCCAAUUUAAGUACAUUUCUGCGAAAUCCCACAUUCUUGAAAUUAAAUUGCAGUAAAGUUAUGUAAAAUAAUUGCAACCAAGACAUAGCGCGAAGCCGAGAGUUCCGAUACAACAAAGAUGAACAGAUUAGUAAUACAGAAAAUUGAACCGAGUAAACCAAGCUACUAGAAGUAUAAUCAACAACAGCCAACAGGAAGGAUGGUUACAGCACCGAAGUGGAUAGGGAAGGGGAGAGAGGGAAGACCCAGAGUCGGGGUUGGAGUCGGGUUGGUCAACGAGAUUAUCUGAACGGGAUGGUUGAGUCUUGGCCUGCGGCAGGGUGUUAGUAGAAGGGUCAUUGGGCGAUGAUUUUGGAACAUUUUGCUGCAGACGUGCUGUAGAGAGAGUUGUCAAGCGAUUACCAGCAGAGGACAGUUUUUGGCUCUUGAAUGGCGGUCGAAUAGUGGAGUAAAAGAAGCAACUCCGGUUGGGGUUGGGGUUGGAGUUUCCGAUCAAGAAAAGGUUAUGGAGGUGGGAGUGGCAGCGGUGGCGGGCGAGCCCACACGCGAGUGCCAUGUUCUGAAUCACUUCCGGAAAUCAAUUACUGCUACUCCUACUACAGAUACAAAUAACUACAAUACAAAUUGGCCCUGCUUCAAUCUUACCUAGAUUUGGGUAACUGAAUUAACGGCUACAAUUGGCGCUCCCACAUUAAAAUAUCUAGCUUUGAAAAAAAAAACAUUAAAAUAUCUUGCAACUCUUUCGGAAGUACUGCUACCAUAUGUCGUCGUACGAUUGCCGCUCCCGCUCCCAUGUUACACUUGUAGUACCACAAACUGUACUCCUUCGCCGGUAGCACUUAUCAAUUAAUAUUUUAUGUUUGUUUGGAUAGUGUAUUAUUUGAAAUAUUAUUUGAAAUAAUUACUGUAGCAUUUUUUGUGAUGUGAUGUAUCUGAGAUAAAAAGGUGAUUGGGAAUAUAAAAAGGUGGGUUGAAAAAUGUGUUUAUGAUGCAAGCGAAAUAUUAUUUGGGAUAAAUUUUGUAUCCAAACACUCCAUUUGGUCCAGUGGUCAUCACCCUCUUUGGUGAUACUGGAAGUCAGGGUUCUACCCUUGCCUCUCUCAAAUUUGCCACAAUAUGUGAUUGGUCUUAGUUGACCAUCUUCUCUUACCCCUUUCCCCUAGAUUAGACUAGAUUAAAUUAUAGGACAUCUACCAUUGUCGAUAAAAAAAAAAUUUAAUAAUAUUAAUACAUAAAUACUAGAACAAAUUGCCUGAUGUUGAAAUUUAGCAUUUUGUCUUUUCAUUUCCUCUUCUGUACAUAUAAAUAUUGGAUGUUGAUUAGGUAAAAUGUACAGCAUGCUAAAUUAAAAAGGCUAGCAAUAUUUUUAGAACAAUUGUAUCAAAUAAGAACAGUUAGUAUAGGACCUUAGACACGCCUUACCACUUAUGAUAAAAAAAAAAUCAAAUAAAAUUCCAAAACUGCUAGUAGUAUUUUUGUAAACUUAACCAUAAAAAAAAAACACAAAAGAGGUAAAUAUAUUUCAACUAAAUAAAGAGAUAAGUGCAUUUCGAAAGAUCAAAACUAGAUAUUAUCAAGUACAAAAAAAAAAAAACACAACCAAGUCAUUGCCUACCACCAAAGACUUUAAGUUUUGGUGAGAUGAAAGGUCAAGAGUUCAAUAUGCCACUAUAUGUGAUUUCUUUUAAAUUCAUACGGGUGCAUUACUAUAUGUAGUUUCUUCUAAAUUCAUCACAUCAAUAUAUAGUUUAGAGUAGAAAAAAAAAGUACCACUUAUACAAAUAAAUGCUCAAAUAAUAGUGCAAAAAAAGCACAACUUAUACAAAUAAAUGAUCAAAUAAUACAUGAUAAGUACUUCAACCGAACCUCUAACUUAUAAAAAGAAGAAGAAGAAGAAGUUACUUUAACCGAAAUAUCUAUUAAAAUUUUUUUUUUUUUUUGGAAUAAACCAGUAGUCCUAUUAGUCCUAGCUAGACAUUUUUGUACAGCACAUUUUUUAUCUGCACGUGAUAAAAGAAUAGGAAACAGAUGUGUAAAUAACAUAUAACCAUGAUAUAAGUAUGUCAUAGACCGAAUGGGACUAUGAUACACGGAUGUCAUAGAUCGAACAUUUUUGAAAGAAUGUCAUAUAUUGAACUAGAAAUUUUUUUUUUAACGGGUGGAUUUUAUUAUAUGUAAAAGUUAAAACCAUAACCUCUAAUAUGCAUGGUCAAGUUUUUACGGGGAAAAAAGUUUAAUUUACAGAAAGCAUAUUAAAAUUUUCAAAUGUGUAAAGAAAGAAAAGCCCAAAAUGCUAAAAGGAUGAUUUUAAGAACAUACAUUAAGACUUCUAAAAAAUGCAGUUACCCUUGAAGUUUAAAAAGUUACAAAAACCUCCUCUAAAAAGUAUGUUUUGAUAACAAGUGGUGGUAUAAGCAUAAAAAAAAAAUCCAAUGAAUAUCCUAUAUUGCCCCCUAUUUGAUUUACAAAAUAAAUUGAAUAACAAAAGAAAUCAAAUACCAGUAUUACUUGCUAAGUAAAAUAUUUUAAGAUAGUUAUAUAUAGAAAAACUUAGGCCAUGUUUCAAGACAUCAUUUUUUUUAAUAUUUGGACUUCUUCUUUUCUUUUCUUUGCUCAUUAAGUUGUGAAUUGCACAAAAAAAGUUGUGAAGAAAUUGUUUUUUAAAAAGUGCAUCCCUACUAGUCAUAUAUUUAAAAAACUAAGUAAGAAGUCCAUUUAAAUGACCUAGGAUUUAAAUAUAACGUAUUAGGUGAAAUGAAAUUAGAGUUAUUUGGAUAAAAAAAAGUGUUUGCAAAAUGUGGGGUUUUUUUUUUUGCUUCAUACUCAUUUUUCAAUUAGAAUUUAUAAAGUUGUCAAAGUUAUUACUCCCUCCGUCCCACUUUGAUAGUCUUGUUUUCUUUUUUCGUCUGUUCCAAAUUGUAGUCCACUUUCCAAUUGAAGAAUGUAGUUGUAUUUUAAUUUUCCUAAAAUACCCUUAUUCAAUGUAAGUUGUUAUUACUAUAAACCUACCUCAUUUAAUAAAAGUUGAUUCUUUUUUUACUAUCAAUUCAAGUUCCCAUAAAAUUGUACCAUAUUUAAUGUGAGGGUAUUUUAGGAAAAUAGCAAUCUAAAUUUACUUUUCUAACAAAGUUAACUACUUUUUCUUAAACUGUGUGAAAAAAGAAAUAGGACUAUCAAAGUGGGACGGAGGGAGUAUAAUUUUUUCACAACACUAAAGGAGAUAUGUAUAACUUUUAAAAUAUUGAAAAAAAGUGGCACAAACCUCUGGGGAGGUUUAUGAGAUUACCCCUUCGCCAAAGCUUGGGGGCCACCAUAUUCCCGGUCACUACUCGGCCAAGUUAUACCAGUUAACGUAGUCCACUUGGAUUUAGAUAUGCUUGAUCUGGGUACAACCCCCGAACCCGGCCCCGUUGACAAGUCAAACAGGAAACAACUGUCCGCCUGUCUCCCAAAGACGAAAAUAGCGGAAAUUCCGCACGGAAAAAGAAGAAUUUUGUGGUCGUGUGGCCAAUUAUCUUCUUUAGUGGGGCCCUAAGAGGGAAAAAAAAUAGAAGAAAAAGAAAACAUGUUUACCCGCAGCAGUAGUAGUACUUUUUGAGUAUCAUUAGUUUGAAAAAUGGUAAAGGAUGAUUUUUACUACUCCUCCUGAUAAGGAUUGCUAUUUAAUAGCACCUGGUCUAUUUUAUUUAAGUACUCCUCCAUUGGUAAAGGGUCGUUUGGCAAAUAAAUUUUUGAUCAAGUUUGUCUUCUAUAAGUUUUUUAAAAACUUUAACUACAGUAAUUUCAAAAAUUUUUCAAAAUUUUUAAAUAAUACAUUUCAAAAUAUCAACAAAUUUACAUACUUCAAAAAUUUUUCCUACAACUUUUACAGUAAAUUAAGUUUUAGAUAAACAUCUAAAAAACUUACUUGCCAAACUGGAUUUUUUAUAUGUUGACUGCAUAGAUAGAUCCUAAUGCAGUAUCAUUUACAUGGAGUGGAUUUCAUUUACUACUAGGGACCAUAUGUACGACACGUGAUAUGACUAUAGCUUAAUGUAGUAUGCUUUGUUAAAGUUUCCCCCAAUAAUUUGUGAGAGCUUGUACGUAUAGACUACAGAGUGUAUUGAGUAUCUUUCGGUGAUGGAAAAUUAUUCCAAGUAGAAUCUUACAGUAAGUAUGGACCAAUUCGAGACAUGCCCGUUUUCUUUUAUUCCCUUGUUUUACUCGGGGAAGUGGGACUGAGAAUAGCAGGAAUGAUUCAACAAAUCGCUCUUCUAUGGAGAACCUAAUUCUGCUCAGGAGGAAUGUUCCAAAGCCUGGAAUUGGUUUGUGGUGUGUGUGUGUAUGUAUAUAUAUAUAUAUAUAUGUAUAUUCCCCCCCCCCCCCCCUCUCCUGGGUCAAAACUCAAGACCAACCAUCAGGUUUAUGUUAAAACUUAAAAGUCAAGCACCCAGCUCGACGGGCUUCCACCAGAGUGUAAUUCUCCGAUCAAUUCCGUUCUGGUGACUUGACGAAAAAGAGAAGGCAGUACUACCGGUUUAAAGAUCAAAGCUCAAUAUUAGUAGCAGAGAACAAGGAUUAAGAAUGACGAGUUUCAGCUUCCAAAAGAAGACUGCCUGCCACCUAUAUUUGAUUGCUUACAUGAGAGGUUGCUUGCUGGUAUGGUCGUCAUAUGAUCUUAGCCGUUGCAUGCAGCAACUACUUUGAUGCUGCGAUGAUUGUUCGAUAAAAUUAGGCAGCUAAUGCACGAGAAUUACAGCACCAACAUUACCAGCUGUUGACACUUGAUAUAAUUACCUCAGAUGAUGGCCGUCGUGAUUGAUUGGCUGAGAGCUUCGUUGGGAGAUAUGGGCAUGUACGCAUCAAGCAACGAGUGCGAAGAAGCCGUGAAGCUCAGGAUGGAUAGCGCUGUAUACAUAAAGACCACAAUCAGUAGAGUAGAGUAGAGGUCUUCUAGAGGACUGAUGAUCGAACAUAUGUAUCUCGAUCGUGAUCUACCAUAGAUAUAAAGACCACAAUCAGUAGAGUAGAGUAGAGGUCUUCUAGAGGACUGAUGAUCGAACAUAUGUAUCUCGAUCGUGAUCUACCAUAGAUGGCGCUAUCCCUCCUGAGCUUCACGGAUUCUCCAGACUUAAUUUUGCCCACAUAUUUUGUUGCAUGGAGAAUUAAUGAAAGAGGCCAUUUCUCAUCCAUGGCAUGAUGAUCAAUUAAUGUUUGAUCAUUGACUCGCGAGGUGCGAAGGGACUUUGGCCCAUAAGAUUAAGGUAAGUACUCCUAUAUACUCUGCUACUGAGUAUUUUGAAGAUAUGGAUGGGUUGGGGAGAUGAAUGAGCAAGAACAAAACGAGAGAGUGAGUAUUUGUAGCAACAAAAGCAUGUGCGCAAAAAGCAGGCCAACCCCUCUACGGCUCUGGGCUUGUAGUUGAUUAUUUGGUUUUGUGACGACGCAAAAAUAUUAGGGUUUCCUAUAACUUUACCCUAGUUGUAUUUUGCCUCUCUCGCCUUAAUAAAUAGACACUUACCCUCCCGCUUUAUGUUUUACAACAAAAGUACCUCUUUCGUAUUAAUUAUUAUUUUACUUAUUUUUUCUCCUUUGUCGCCCUUCUAAUUGUCCUUUUUCUUUUAUAUAUAUAUAUAUAAAUAUGUAUUUUCCUUUUUAUCCGUUCUCACAUACGAUCAAUUACUUUUGUCUCUUUGCUAUUAUUAUCCAUAUAUUAAUUUUAGUAUUUUUAAACUAAUUUUUAUUUAGUUUCUAUCUUUUUUAUUUUUUAUUAUUGGAAGUAAUCAUUAUCAUAAAGUCUAUGUUAUAAUAAAAUAUAUGUUAUCUAAGCGCAUAAACUAUUUCAUAUAUCACUUAAAUCAAUGCGUCUAGAGUUUAGAAUAAAUUAAGUUUUAAUGACAUGAGCAACAAAUUCAUAUCAAAGUAACAAAAAUAUUAGUUACUUUAUUUUUUGAGAUAUACUUUAAAAUAUUAAGUAAUUUAAAAUUAUACUUUGUUAAUUUAUUUUUAAAUAGUCAAAUUGCUAGUAUUAUAUACUUUUUGAUUAUGACAGACAUAUAUUAAUUUUCUAUGCUAUACAGUUUGUCUUGAAUUUUCUAAUAGUGUAAAUAAAUAGAACAAGAAUGAAAUUAUAAGUAAAAGAUAAUUGUAAUAUUAUAAUAAACAUACAAAUUAGCCAAACUAAUAUGAAAACGAAACAAUAUAAUGACAUAAGAAAAGUGAAAAAAAAAAGACAAUAGUAAAAGAAGAAAAGUACAAAAAUAAAAGAAAGUAGUGGAAAAGGAAAAAUAAAAAAGAAUCAAAAUAAAAUAGUAAAGGCACUUUUGUCUUAAAAUAUCAAAUAGGGGUACAAAGUGCUUAUUUAAAGGGUUUAAUGCAUUUAACACCAUUUAAAGAGUUUAUUUUCCAUUUUAAUUUAAUAAACUCUUAUUUUAGUGAGGAUCCCACCGUAGUCAUUUAUCUGCCGACUACGCUCUAACCUCCUCCAGACUCCCUAAUUAAUCCGUUCUUGAAAAUUGAAAAACGGUACGGCUAUAAGCCGGCUAUGCCUUUCUUCGCUAUUACCACCGUGUCUGCGUUCUUUCAUUGCCUUUGACACUGUGCCCAAUUUAAUUUCUUCAUUACUUGUUCUUUUUCUUCAAAAUCCUGCAUUUUUAAGCAGCACAAGUUGCAUCAUGCAUGACCACCAUUAUAGUACUGAGCUGCAAAAUAGAACUCAAAAAAGAAAAAAUAUCAUCAAUUUCAAUUCUUGCGCGAUGUAACGAAUUAAUUACUUGAUAAUGAUGUACCCCUUAGAUAAAAGAGUGUGUGUGUGUUUUUUUUUUUUUUUUCUGGGCUAGCUAGGUAGAGAACCUUUGGCUUCCACUGUGAUUCUGAGUCGUUUGAAUUGAAGUCCUGGGAAAGUUGCUAUUUGGUUUUGCAUAGUUAACCAAGUAAAUAAGUAGUAGAUAGAUUUUCUGACUUCAAUGAUCUUUGCAGGUGUUUACAUGGACGAAUGAUUAGAUUACCAUAGAGGCGAGGAAGAUAGCUAACGAUGGACAACUAGUUAAGCGUACUUGUAUUCUAUCAAAUUAUGAAUACCUGAUUCGAGAUUUGACAAACAAUUACCACGACUCACUAAUCGGGAAUGCCCCGCCCCGUUCAUAUUUGUCUUCGCGUGGAUCAGGAAACCAGAUUUAGCUAAACAACCUGUUAGGUUCAUGUUCUUUCAUCACAAGAAUUGACUUAAGAGAACCAGGUGUUUCUUGUUCUUUAUCACAAGAAUUGACAAUACAUCGGGUGGAGGGUGGGGAGUUUUUGAGAGAGAUUAAGCCUUGUUGAAUAUUUCAGUGCCUUGGGAUGCCUUUAAUUACAUGUGCAUCAUUUGGCUGGCGAGUGAGCUAAAAGCCUAUAUAUAUAACAUGUACAAAUAUGCUUAAUGGACCUAGUAAUAGUUGGACAACGACUUUCUUGAUCAUUCAUCUACAUGGUGGGGUGUACAACACGACGAGUCCAUGAAACCUUCCAUUGGUGCUCACACAUCAAGUCCCUUUUUCCCUUUCCAUUCUAUGGUCUCUGUCUUUAAUUAACCUACUACAUACAUGCUGAAGGUUUUUGCAAUACUUCACCGCUGAUUGAAGAUGCGCCUUUCAACUUGUUACUUGAUAGGAGUAUAGAGUAGAAGUAAAAUACAAUUCCAAGAAAGAUUUUCUUCCAAGUAGCCUACAUUAAACUAAAUGCCGAAGCUAUGCUACCCACCAACCACGGAAACAAUGACCUAGCUAGUGGCCAUAUUCUGAUGUGCAUUCUGCUGGUCUGAUCACUGGUAAAUGAAAAUCGGACCAACUGGGAAGCAAAACGAAGCACUGGUAUGGGAAAUCCCAAAUUCCAUCGUUUACGUUUGGAGGGACGUCUUGGAAGUUGAACUCUAAUAUCUUUCACUAACUCUCAUAGCUAACCAUACUGCUCCGUCACUCAGUUCUUGUAGUUGUAGCAUAAUUAUUUGUUGUUCGUUCAACUCUUCCAGUAAUCAAAGAUCAAAAAGCCAGAGAAGGCUGAAGUUGCAAUCUCUUGCGUUGCUCCCCUGGUCCAUUUUGGGGUUGGUUUGCAAUUCUAGACCUUCGGAUUGGUGCCGUACGUUUCCAUAUGAAACUAGGGUUCAAGACACGUAACUGAAUGUGUUUGUAACUAGCAAAAGAACUUUUUGCCAAAAUUUUCUACUUUGAUACUACUCCCUCUAUUCCACUUUAAUAGUCCUGUUUUCCUUUUUCGUUUGUCUCAAAUUGUAGUCCACUUUCUAAUUGAAGAAUGUAGUUAUAUUUUAAUUUUUCUAAAAUACUCUUAUUUAAUGUAAGUUGUUGUUACUAUAAACCUACCUCAUUUAACGAGAGUUGAUUCUUUUUUUAUCAUCAAUUCAAGUUCCCAUAAAAUUGUACUCUAUUUAAUGUGAGGGUAUUUUAGGAAAAUAGCAAUCUAAAUUUACUUUUCAAGAGAAUUAUUUGAAAUAAUGCGAGUCAGCAGCGGCUAUAGCAAUCACAUAAUUGAUAAUAUAUAUAUAGGUGGCAAACAAACCCAUUUAGUUAAAUAUACCCAUACCUGUCCAUAAAUAGAUGAAUAUGGGUAUAUGAUUAAAUGGGUAUUAUUGGGUAAUCCAUCAAAUCUAAUUAACCCAUUUAGAAUUAUUUUCCUCCAAACCUCCUCUCCUCCCCCACCCAUAUUUUUUUUUUUCAGAUUCUUUAUUUUGUCAUGAUGUUAACUAUUUUUGUUUCAUUAUUAUUAUUAUUAUUAUUUAUUGGUUUUAUCUUACCAUUUUAUUUUCUCUUAGUUUGUUAACCUGCUCAUUUUUCAGCAUUACCAAUUUAUUACAAGUUUUAGCCUCUUUUCCUACCUUUCCAAAAUGAAAUUUUAAAUUUACACACGAAAAAAUGCUAUGGGUUCAAAAUUUUUGGAUUAAAUUUGUAUGUUAACUUUUAUAAUACUUAGUUCAAAAAUUUUAUUCUUAUUGUUCAAUUAUUAAAUAGUAUGUAAUUUUUUGACAUAGAAUACGGAUGGAGAAAAAAUUGGUAAUUAAACUUAUUGAACAUUAUAAGUAAAUAUUCAAAACUAAUGAUUGGUGCAAAGAGCGAUAUAAAUUGAUAACUUAGUCUGUAAAAAUGAAUUUAAAUGAGUUUACAAAAAGUUAAAAUCAAUGGGUUAUAAAUGGAUAAUUGAGUUACCUAAUUCAUUUUUUGACUUACCCAUUUAUACUCGUCUAAUUAAAUGGGUAUAAAUGGGUUGACUCACUGAUAUCCAUUACCCAUUUUAAUCAAUUCAAACAAAUCAAAGUCACCAAUUUUGACACGUCUAAUAAUACAAUACCUGAAUUCUUGGCAUAGUAUAGUUAUACGAAACUUCAUUGGUCAUUGCCUAAUACAUUAAUUGCUAAUGAUUUAUAGGUAAUUCGUAAACUUGGUGGACGGUUGAGAAAUAUGAAAAAGAAGAGAGAUUGCCCCAGUUUUGCGCCAAAUGAGCCGAGUAAUUUUUAGCUAGACGUGCAAAUUCUUUAAUUAUUAGUAUUUCAAUUGUCUUCCUAUCGCAUCAUUAGCUCGAUCGAACGGUCAAAGUUUGCCACUUUGGGGGAGAGGAUUUCUUGAAUCGUGUCUUGGACAUUUCAUGUCUCAUUGAAUGGUAUUGACCUUUACAUACAAGUUCAAGAGCCAAGACAAAACCCCCCCCAAAAAAAAAAAAAAAAAAUUAUGAACUGACUGAUAAUUGCUCCACAAGCAUGUGCCGCGUAGGGCUUUCCCUAUCAACAAAACAAACAGUGGCCCCAUUUGACAAAUGAAGUUUUUUUGAUAUUUAUUUAAAAUUUUAUUAUAGAUUACUGUAAAAGUUAUAAAAAAAUUUUAAAAUAUAUAAAUUUUUAGAUAUUUUAAAGUGCAUAGUUUAAAAAUUUUAAGAAAUUUUUUUAGAUUAACAUAGCUAUGAUUGUUAAAAAUUUUGCAACAGACAAACUUGAUCAAAAACAUAUUUACCAAUCAGAUCUACUAGUUGAUACCUAAUAGUACUGCUAUUACGUGACGUAUAGUAUGAUGUACAAUACGUGUUACACUUGGUUAAGAACUUAUUAUAUCACGUAUAGUAUCAGUAUGAUGUACUUGCUAUAUGUCACUUAAUAGCAGUACUAUCAGGCUUCAGCUAUUUAUAUCGUUAGAAGAUUCAUGGUUACUUUUUUUUUUUUUUCCAAACCAUGGUAGAUAUUUAUAUCACAAAUUCAUCAUGAGAGGUCUCCGACAAGAAAGGAUUGAAAAGAAAAAAGAAUAAUUGGAGCGUUUGAUUGGAUGGUUAUUCACGUACUUACACGGCAUUGACAUGCGGCGAAGGCGGGCUAUAUAAACUUCUUGAUGCAGAGCCAGGGCCCGUCUGGGCUUUAUCCUGACGAGAAGCAAAUAAAAAACCUGUAACGCCAGAGGCAUUUGAGCCCAUGAAUCAUCGGAUCUGGACUGGAGUCUUAUAGAUGGAGAUGAUGUUGUGGCGCCAUUUCUCGAUUCAAAAAUUCCCGCUUUUUCCAUAAAAUCACCAUCCCCAUUCCCUUCCCCAAUCUUACUUUAAUAUAAUUAUUUGCCCCCAUUUUCCAUCCAAUUCAUCUCGAUUAACCAAACCUCGCCAAAUUCGUACACGGAAAAUCUCUAAUAAAUGUCAACGUGGCAGUUGUUCUCCGACGCCGGUGAUAAUGUCCGAUGGGAAAUCUCCGAUCAACACCUCUCCAACCAAGAGGCAGAAUCAAAUCGUGCCCUCGAAUAUCCGCCUCCUCAAUCUCACCGCCUUCCUUCGAUGGCCGAUCUCUUGCUCCAAGGUACUGCAAAUGAACUACUGUUUACUGGAUAUUCAAGGUUCACUGAAGUUCGGGAUGGAAAUUCGGACAACACUCCUAGUUUUAGGAGCGGAUUGGGGAAAUCGGUGGCUGUGAAGCAGUCUUCGAUUUCAAGAGCCUUAGCGAUUCUCGGUGAUGAAGGAGACGCGGUCACGCAGACAGGUUCCAAAUUUUCAACUCCGUUGUAUUGUCUGUAAUGUUGUCAGAGUUGCUUAGCAAAAGCUGAAACUUCGAAUUACUACCGUGCAGGAUGUUCGAGGUUGAGGGAUGUUCGCCAUGGCAAUUUGGAUAGUGCUUCAAGUUUUCGGACUGGACUGGGAGAGUCGGUGGGGGUGAAGCAGUCCUCGAUAUCAAGAGCUUUUGAAAUUCUCAGCGAUGGGGGAGACGAGGUCAUUCGGACAGGUUGAAGUUCCAAUAAACGUUGCCACAUAAAAGACCAGCUUUUAACUAAUUAUUAUAUUAUGUGAAUCUUCUAAACCACGAACUGUGUAAAACUUCAGUCCGUGUGAGCUGGCCGACUGCUUAUAAAUUGAAAAAAAGCCAUGCAAUGUGGUGGAUUUGAUUUAAACAUAUGUUAUGGUGGUUCUCAUUGAAAUUAAGAGCUGGACAUACUUGAAUCCCACCUGCAUCAAGUUUUAUAGGCCCAAUUUUGUGAUACAGUUCAUCCUAUAUAACCUAAUGCAUGUCCUUGGGUUUAUCUGUGCUUCAUAAAUUGGUGACUUAGAUUGAAGUUACAGCCUAUAACUUCCAAAGCAAAUUAUGUGUUGCCUUUUUCUUUUAAUAACAUUGAACCCAUCAUUAUGUUGCAAAUAGUAGGUUAAAAUCACAUUUUUCAAUACUAAAAAAUGGGGACGGAUGUAAGAACCAACUAAAGUUUCUGUGAGUUUAUACUAUGUACUGAGUAUUUCUGAUAAGUUGAUAACUUAAAGGUUCCUCUUGUAAACAUAUGAGCAGGCCAGCAGAUUAGAGGAGAUAAUGAAUUUGGUUUUUCAAAUACCAUUUCAUGGACCGGCCCAAGGAAAGCAAUUAAUGUACCAAAAUCUGCUUUGAGGACUAGCUUGGAGCAAAUGACUGAUACAUCAAAUUCCUUCUUCCAGACAGCCUCAGGUAAGGCGGUCAGCUUAUCUUCUGCCGGUCUUUUAAGAGCCAAGGUUUUGUUGGGCCCAGAAGAACAUGGUGAUUGCAAGAAUUUUGAAGACCUUGAGCAGGAAGGACAGCUGUCAACCUCAUAUCAGCCUAGUGGUUUGAGAAGUUCAUUUCUUUUUGAAGGGGAAGCAGGUGUUAAUAACACACUGCUUAAUGGUGAUAUAAUACUCCCAAUAUCUCCCCUAGAUGGUAAAAUUAAUUCUGCAAGUUGUCAAUCGAAGUAUGUUAUUCCGGAUUUUCUGCAGAGUGCUCCAAAACCACCUCCAGUCAAGUUUCAAACUGCUGGUGGGAGAUCAAUAUCUGUUUCAAAUGAUGCCCUGAAACGUGCACUUAGCCUGCUUGGAGAUCAGGAGGCGGGAGCCUACUCAGAUGAAGGCAAUGCAACAGAUCAUGAAUAUCCAUUUUCCAGAGACACAGAAUCCAAGAAUACAAAACCAAGCAAAGAAAAUGACCCUAAUACUCCAUUUCCAUAUCAAGAGACAGCAAACAGCAAUCAUUUGUCAAAGAAUUUCACUUCUCCAUUCAGAUCAAAUUCAUGUCAAAGAGAAUCUUCAGUUAGACCACGCAUUAUUGGUCAAGGGAGUAACUUGAUCAAGAAGUUCGAUGCGGAGGCAAAACAUAAUUUAAGUAGUCCCUGCAAUAGUCUACCUAGCUAUGAAAAUCAUUUAAGGAAGAAAACUCAAGUGGCAACCAUGGAUUCAUUAGAAAGGCCAUCAAGUGGGCCUCUGGUGGAUAUCUCAAACAGCAUUGGUGCGAAUUCCACAGAUGUCAAGUGGAAUUCUGCUGAGAAGAGAAGACUAGGGAGAAGCACUGUAUCUCCAUUCAAAAGGCCUCGAAGUUCUAAAUUUAUCACCCCAUUUUGUAGAAAUAAGACGUCAAGUCCUAAUGGUAAAUAAUCAGAUCUUGUGGAUAACCUUCUUCAUUCUUCUUGAGACAAUCUUAUGAGCAAAUCUAAGGCAUAUCUUUUAACUAGGGAUGCCAUCUUUAACAACUAAUGAAAUCUCUUAUGAGGGACGGGUUUCUACUCGAUUGCCGUUUCAAGUUUCUCGGUUGUAUGUGAAGGAAUAUUUUACGGAGCCCCCAUUUGGCCGAAGCAAGGUGUAGCAGUGUAGAAUACUUGUUUGUUUCUUAAUUUACCAUCCCUUUUUCUUUGAGCGGUUGAUACUUACAUCGAUGCUCUAUGUAUUCAGAUAGAGAACUUGUCAGAUGAGAUAAGGAGGAUGAAUCCAGGUGUUGCUGAAUAUUAUACGUUUCCUGAUGAUUUUGGUUCAGGUUGCAUUGGAGCAGAAGAAUUUUACCAUAUGCUGGUUCAACCUGAAGUUUCUCCGUAUCAUGUGUCGAAAGAGUAACUACUUUUUUCAACUUCAAUCAAAUUGAUUAUUCAGAAAUUGUACAUUUUCUAGGCUUUACAUGGAUCAGAUGUACAUUCAUAACUACAUGAAGGACCUAGAGUGAUACAGUACUUUCUUUAUACAAUUUUGGUUAUUUCUUGGUAUUUCUUAAUUACUCUCUGCUAGGGAUGCACGUGGGGAAGCCUAAUCUCUUUUUUCUUUGUUCUUGAUGGUUAUCCUUUAUAUAUUAUGACUUUUGUAACAAAUGGAGGCCCAUAGGUAUUUUCCGUACUAUAUUUUCUAGAGCCGUUUUUUGUUUCUUUUUUAAUUUGUAUGAUGCUCCUGCUGGUGAUAUCAUAAUUUGGUUUUUGUCUAUCCAGGUGGGUUAUAAAUCACUAUAAGUGGAUAGUUUGGAAACUUGCAUCUUAUGAGAGAUGUUAUCCUGCCAAAUUUUCUGGAAAACUGUUAUCAGUUUCUAAUGUACUUGAAGAAUUGAAGUACAGGUAUUCAAACUUCCCAUGGUCAAGGGAAGUUUUUCCUUAUCUUUUUUUUUCUCCUACUAAUUUCCAGAACUUUACAGAAAAAUUUCUAAAUUUUCUGGUCAGAUAUGACAAGGAAGUAAAUCAUGGGCAUCGAUCUGCUGUCAAGAGAAUUUUAGAAGGAGAUGCACCACCAUCUUCAAGGAUGGUAUUGUGCAUUUCAUCUGUCCUUUCAGUUUGUGGCACAGAGGUUGGCUGUCAACCUAUUGCAUCAAGAGAGGUUGAAAGUGGUGCAGCUGCAAAAAUUGAACUAACAGAUGGAUGGUUAGGAAAUUCUUAGUUAACAGUAGUGUUUACAAAUUUAAUGUCCAUGUUUGUCUAAAACUUACCCCUUUGACAGGUAUUCUAUCAUUGCUCUACUGGAUGUACGUCUAUCAAAGAAACUGGCAGCUGGGAAACUGUUCAUAGGGCAAAAACUUACUGUAAUUUGUUCCUGUGGUUUCAGUUUCUCCUUUUUGUUAUAGGGUUUUAGUUACAAUUUAUGUAAUGCUUACCAUUUCUUUUCUAUUUGAAGAUCUGGGGAGCUGGAUUAUGUGGGUGGGCUGGGCCAGUUUCGCCACUUGAGGUACUUGCAUGUUGAAUUCAUUUCUUUCAUGGUUGGUUUUUGAACUAUUUGUGCUACUUAGGGCCUUUUGUUUUUGUAUGAAUUUCGAUUUCAGGCACCAAGGACAAGCACUUUACUAUUGCAUAUGAAUGGGACAUAUAGAACUCAUUGGGCUGAUCGACUGGGUUUCUGUAAGGAUUUUGAAUAUUAACAUGAACUUUUAUUGGCGUAGAGCUGACUAAUAACAUGAACUUCACUGGCUAAGAUUACUUUGGUGCAGCUUUAUUUCGUUGCUCUCUGGUUGUGGUUUUCUUCUCUCUAACCUUGAUAUCUAUUCCUAGGUAAGGUUGAUGGUCUACCACUAGCAUUUAGGUCCAUCAAGAGUACUGGAGGAGUUGUUCCUAGCACAUUGGUGGGAAUUUUAAGAAUAUACCCUGUAGUGUACUGGGAAAGGUAACUUGUAUUAGAUCAGUGGCAUUUGAUACUCAUCCUCAGAUAUGAGAAUGAAGGCAAUCUUUCUCUUUCAGGUUAAGUGAUGGUGGAUUCAUAGUGAGAUCUGAGAGGAUGUACACUAAGAUGUUGCAUUCAUAUAACAAAAGGUAACAACUGUUUGAGUUACUUCAGGCAAUUCCAAUUUACUACAGAGUUUUUGCCAUUGGUUGCCUUUUGAGGAUAUUCAUUCUAUUGUCAUGCAUCUAUAACUGCAAUAGGUUCUUCCUUUAUUGUCUUUGUAUCGUUAUGCAUCUGUGACUGGAAUAGAUUCUUCCUCUAUAUAUCUUUUGUUUUUGCUUCUCAAGCCUUCUACCCCCCUCUCUCUAUCUCGCUAGACUGGUAUUUGCAGAUAUUACUUCAUAAAUAUUUCCAGCAUUGAAAAUUAUGUUGCCAAUGGUGAUGCUAAUAUUUUGGACCCUAAAUAGAAUCUAGGCGAUCUGUUGAUAAAGACCUUCAUGAUAAAGAUUGUAACCUUCAUGAUCUCAAUUCUAGGCGAUCUGUUGUGGUAGAGGAUGUAUUAUCCAAAUUCCAAGGGGAAAACGAAACAUUCCAUACUCUAGAUGAUAAUGACAGUGAAGAAGGGGCUAAAAUCAUGAAGAUGCUUGAGAAAGCUGCUGAACCAGAAGUCAUAAUGGCUGAGAUGACUUCAGAACAACUAACUUCAUUUGCAUCUUAUCAAGCAAAAUUGGAGGUACAUUUUCAAGAACUGAUUUCAUUUGCUUCUUAUCAAGCAAACUUUGGGCAAUGUUUGGCUUGUAAUCCCCUAAUUCUACUAAUGGUUGAUAAUGACUUUUCUCCAUCUGAUAUUAGAUGCUAAGGCACUCAGAUAUGCAGAAAUCUCUUGAGACGGCUUUGAAGGCUGCUGGUUUAGGUGGCAGAGAAGUCACUCCAUUCAUGAGGGUCAAAGUUGUUGGCUUGACAAGCAAAGAUUCUCCACAAAAAUGUUUCCCACAUACGGGCUUGAUUACAAUCUGGAACCCAACAGAGAAACAGGUUAAGUGUGCCUGUGAACAUUUUUCUGUGUUUCAUUAUUGGAACCUGCUUCUUUAAUAGGCCCCUAUGCCAGUCCCGGUUGUGCUCCUCUUUAACAACCUUAAUUUAAAUGAUUGUUACUGUGACAGCAAUCAGAGUUAGUUGAGGGCAGGGUUUAUGCUGUGUCUUGCCUUACACCAUCAACCUCUGAUUCAAGUACUCUUUAUUUGCAAACCAAUGGACCAAGUACCAAAUGGCUAUCUUUGUCGCCUUCAGCAAUUGAGCAUUUUAAGUAAGUCCUGAUAGGUUUCCUUUUUAUUUUCAAAAGUAUGUUUAUUAUACUGAUGGGAGUUAUCAUCAGGCCGUUCUUCACUCCUCGCAAGUCAAUUUUAUUGUCAAAUUUGGGUGAAGUUUCUCUAUCCAGGUAACCUCGGAAUUCCAACUUCUUGGAGUUUGUGCUCUUUCUCUGAAUGAGCCUGUUCCAUGCUUACCUGUUUGUGUUGUUUGGCUUACACAGUGAAUUCGAUAUCGCUGCAUGUGUUGUUUAUGUGGGAGAUGCAUAUACAACUGAUCGCCACAAGAAACAGUGGGUGUUUGUGACGGAUGGAUCCAUACAUGGAUUACAUUCAAGGGAACCUUUGGAAUCGCUGCUGGCAAUUGGCUUCUGUUCACCAUUUAGUGACGGUGAUAUGCUUGCACCAGUAAAUUAUAAUUUAGCAGGUUCCACGGUGAGUUCUAAGUGGGUUUUAGGAUAAUCUUAGAACUUAAUACUCCAAUAGUCCAAGGUCUAUAUUCAGUAACUUAGAUGACUUUUUUUCUGUAUGAUAUCGUAUUUAUUAAUUCCACUAGCAGCAAACUAGAUGAUUUACCAGAAUAAAGGGAAAAGCAAUAUGAACAUUGAAAAUAAACGUGAUCUGCGCAAAACGGGACGUCUGACUGCACAUUAUGCAUGCCUAUAGAUUUCAAAGAAUUCUUUAAGAUUUUACCUAUAGAUAUCAAAGAAUUCUUUAAGAUUUUACUAAAUCUCGAAACGCUGGCUCUUGGUUUUCAGAUGUAAUAAGGAAACAAACAAAUUUAUGUCUUUUACAGGUUGGUUUCUGUAAUCUCAUCAAGAGAGCCAAAGAUCAGGUGAACAAUGUCUGGGUUGCUGAAGCAACAGAAAACUCAACCUAUUCUUUGACAUUUGAUGACCGUUGUUACUUCUCUCACUUAAAAGAGGCAGCUGCUUCUACACAAAAGUGGGCGAACAACUCCAGCUUGGUAUGUGAAUUGUCUGACGUCGUUGAGUUAUCCAAACUGGGGUUCUGGAAGUUAACUUUCUGCAAAUUUGUUGCUUUGCCUACAGGCUAUUGAGACUCUUAGAAAGAGAGUUGUGUCUAUUGUCAGCAACUCUGCAGCCUAAAGUUUUGAAAGAUACGGUGGUAUACGCCUCCGCUGUUUGGUUGCUUAUCAUGGAACAAUAAUAAAGCUUGUGCGAUUCAUGUUCACAUGUUUCAGGACUAUAAUCAUCUUUCGAGGUGUAAAGCUGCAUGCCCGACCCAGACCGGUUAACUUUUGGGAGCUAAAAGGAGGCCGCGACCCGUUCAGCGUUCCCUGUACCCCGUCGCAGGAUCUGUUCAGCGUUCCAUUCUCAGUGUGACCGGCACCUACAGAAUGGGCUGGGGUUCCAAAUGGUUUUCGAUUAUGCGGACCUUUGUCAGUUGUUUUGUGAACAGAUUUGGAGCCUAAUUGAAAUUCCAACCUCUCCUCCCGGGUCGAAGGGCCCACCAAUAAGCGUCCUUGGUUUCAACAGGCGAAGAUCUUCGGCGUAUAGUGUAUGGAUUGCUGCUUUUAUUUCUUUCCACAAUUAUUUUUUAAAUUAAAUCGGCAACCUCUUAGUGCUUUUUUUUUUGGAUGAUUGUUAAUCCGAAAUUAUUGUUGCAAAUUCAAAGACAAAUACCAGCCAACUGAGUCAGAACUUUUUUAACAAUUUGAAUGAAUUGAUCCCUUUAAUAAUGUCUAACUAAUAAGGAUAAUUUUUACGUCACGCGUAUGUCAAACGAGCACGAUUUGUUGCAAGGCAGAUGGUCAACUCCUUGCAUAAUUUUCACUUGAAAUCAUGUUUUUAAACUCGAACUGGCCAGUGAAUCGAAGAGUGGGUCAAUUUGUGGUUCGAUUGGUCCAACCAGUUUGAUCGAUCAGUUUAUCGAUUCUCUCUUUUUUUUUUUUUUUCCAACUUCAAUGUUAAGUACUUCAUAGGUAUUCAAUUUACAUUUCAAUUUGACAGUUGAUGCACAGUCUAACAUGGUUAUUGAUAACAUAAGUCCCUAAAAUACAUUGACCAACAUAACUUAAAAUUAAAUUUAAGUUAAGAUAAUAAUAAAUUUCUUAAAAGUUAUACAUGAAACUCCAAAAAUUUGUAAAAUUAUAGUAGUGGAUAAUACAAUUAUUACAAGACAAACGACAUCUCUGUCAUGGACUAGUUGAAAAUUUUCUUUUGAUUAAAAUUUUCAAAUAUUUGUACUGAAUCAUUUGCAAAUAGAAAUAGAAAACAAAAAUCUUGAAAAGGAAAAAAUUAAACUCAUCAAGAUGAAAAAACUCUUAUGAAAGUUGCAGUGUCCAACUUGCUUAUAAAUCAUCUAAGAUAAUAGCUUGAUAAUCAUGGGGAAGGCUUGAGAAAGAUUUUGUCAAAGGGUAUUUGAUUCGGAGGUGGAAAGGUUACAAAGAAAAAAAUGAAAAAAAAAAAAGAGAAGAAGCAGAAAUAGAGAACCGAGGAUAAGUGAAGUAAAAGCCAAAAGGUGCUGUCUGGUAUCUGCCGUGUCUUAGUGCUAGGGUUUUCUUUUGUUUAAUUAGAUUUUAGUUUUUAGUUUUUAACUUACGAUAAGUAGCAUUCUACACAAAAAAAAAAACUUGUCUCAUGAAUGUAGUCUAGUGGUAACAAGUCUUUGUUGUGACUGUGGAGACUUGGGUUUGAAUCCUAGGAACUUCAUUCUUGU